rnacentral:lncRNA from 1 species
AAAGUUCAAAAAUAUAACGGAGAGAAGGAGCAUGUAUGCAUGUGUGUGGUGGUGAGGUUGAGGAUUCAGAAAACGUGUGUGGUGAUGGUGAGGUUCAGAAGAACAUGUGUGUGGUGGAGAAAUUCACUAGCUUUUUUAAUCGGGAGACAAGUAAUAGCUUAUUUUGUACAAACACAAGACAGAAAAAUGUAUGCAUCUUUUUGUAAGAGAAAUAAACAAAUGAUCAAGUAUCGCCCCAUGAAAGUUCAUGCAUAUGAGAAAAGGAAAUUCGGAAGGUCGGGGGUGACGAACAGAGAAGUUCAGGCAUCAGUGUUGAGGAAGGUCAGGAGAAAAGAACUCAACCCACUGAGGUGUCUCACAUCAACUAUACAUACUCAACGGCCUCUCUGUUCAUCAAGAAAAUUUGAGUUUCCUUAAGCCACAUUGUUGUGCUGUGAAAAUGUGUUGGUUCUAUGCGUCUUGGAGGGAAAUGGGUUUGAAAACCUCGUUUUGGUGUUGUCCCACUGAAAAUUGCCUUCAAUCCUUUCUUAAACAUGUUAAGUGUUGUGAGAUUAUUGGUUUUUUAUCUCUUUGUCAGUACAUAAUAGUGAACACAUCAACAAAAACACACAUAGAUUUUAUACGUUUUUAGAACUUGGAAAGUUCAAGGUGUGUCUGAUCAGAAAGUUUGAACACUAAAAAAAUGUGGCUAACCUAUCGCCGUGGAUGUUGAAGUUCUGCACCAGUGGGCGUGUACUCUACAAAAGUAAAUUACAAAUCAUAGAUGUAAAUUAUAAAAAAAUAUUACAAAUGGUGAUACACACAAAAAAACUAUGCGUGAGAAGUUCAUAUAUUCUGCAGCAGAAAUUCAACAUGAACACUUUCGGAAAAAUUCACACCAUGGGUGUCCAAAAAUAUAAAAGAGGCGAACAGAAAAAAUAUUGUAGAUGAGUGAACUAUGACAAUUCGAGGGAGUGCACAUUGUUCCAUUCAGGAACAUCAAGACAAAAAUGAGGAAGUUAAAAAUUCUAUAAUAUAACCAAGAAGUUCAAAUUCAAAAAAAGGAGUAGUUCAAUCUAAAUAAAAAGCUUAGAUUUUCCUCGUUACUAAAUAAAUAUAACUAAGAAGUUCGACAAAAAAAAGUGGAGAAGUUCGAUAUUAAUUACAAAAAUCAAAGUUUUUCCUCAUACUCAAAAAUAAAAACCAAGAAAGUCCAAAUUAAAAAAAUGGCACAAUUAAUGUUUAAUUAUGAACAAAAAUCAUGACAUAAGUUCGAAAUGAAUACAGGGAGCAAUUCAAAAAACAAUAUGAUGAAGCGCAGUUUUCUGGCAAAGAAGGUCGUUUAUAAAAACAGCUAGAAGUUCAAAUUCAAAUAAUGGUGUAGUUCGAAGUUAUAACAAAUCCAAAAUUUCACUUUCGAAAAAUAAAUAAAAAACUAGAAUUUUAAUUGAAUAACAAUGCAUUUGAUUUUCACAGGCUAAAAAACAAAGAAGUCCAGAUUAAAAAAACUAAGAAUUUUGAAUUAAAAAACUCGGAUUUUCCUUGCUACUAAACAAACAAAAUCGAGAAGUUCAAAUAAAAUAAUGGAGUACUUCGAUGUGUAUGGAAAACUAAGAUAAUUUCAUAAUAUAGGAAAAAUAAAAUUAUCAAGUUUAAUUUUAUAAAAUGUUUGAUGCUUAUUUAAAAAUAUAUUUUUCUAAAAAAGGCUAAGAAGUUCAAAUUAAAAAAACAGAGAAGUCCGAAGUACAUAAAAAACUCAAAAUUUUCUCCUUACUAAAGAACAGAAUUAAGAAGUUCAAAUUAAAAAAAGGAACAACUAAAAAAGUUUAAAAAGAAUUUCCCCCUUUUUUGUAAAAAGUUCAAAGUGAUAACAGACAGAAGUUCACGUAGUGCAUGGUGUGUGUUUCAUACGAGAAAAAAGAGUAAAAAGGCGAAGUCUAAAAUUUUUGUUGCAAAAGGUCAGGUUCCUACAGAGAGAACUUCAGGUUGUGUAACUCAGAAAGUUCAGAAUUUUUCCGGUUACUAAUAGAAAUAAAGCUACGAAGUACGAAUAAAAAAAUGGAGAAGUUCAAUGAUUAUAGAAAACUCAGAUUUUCCUCAUUAUUAAAGAAUGAAAACAAGAAGUUCAAAAAUGAAAUAACAAGAAGUUCAACUUUGAACAAUAGAGCGCUUCAAAAUUGCAUAAAAAUAGAUUAAUAAAAAAACCAGGAAGUCCAUAUUAAAAAGAUGAAGAAGUUUGAUGAUUAUAGAAAAUUUAGAUUUUCCUCGUUAUUAAAGAAUGAAACAAUAAGUUCAAAAAUAAAAUAACAAAACAUUCAACUAUUAUAAAUAUAGCGCUUAAAAAUUCAUAAAAAAACUCAAAUAUUUUCACAUAACCGAGAGAAGAUCAGGUUGAUAACUGUGAGAAGUUCAUGUACUACACGGUGUGCAUUUUGUAUUAAAAAAGGAACAAAAAAGCAAAAGCUAAAAGUUUGUUGUUAUAAGUUCAAGUCCUUCAUCGGAGAAAGUUAAAAAAAAUUGCGAGAGAGAUUUGUACAAAAGGAAUAUUAUUUGUGUAACACUAACGAACAAAUGGGAAAAUUACAAACGAAAAUACGUCACAGAAGUUCAACUGAAAACAGCAGGAAGUUCAACUACUACAGUGGAUGAAUUUCAGAUGAAAAACUAUUAAAAUCAUCGCGGGUAUGAAAAUCCGAUCAACACGGGAAAGUUGCGUGUUCACAACAGCUUUCCACUGGUAUAUCACUUGCUCAAUUCCGGUGAGUAUUUUGAUAAGUGGAUGGAAAGCUACAGGCAAAAAAAACAUGUGAAAAAAGAAUGAAGUUCAAGUAGGCAUGCCGAGAAGUUUAAGUUCUUCACGCGGUGCAUUUUCAAAGAAUCGGUUUCGCGAUAAAGGUAGAAUGAAUGAUCUCGCCAUUUUCGAAAUCACUUGAAAACGGCUAGGAAUCAGAGAAAACCAUCAACAUGAAAAAGUUCGCAUUUUUCUUAGCUUUUCAACAUAUAUUAUUUACCCCAUACCGAUAAAGUUUGUAGAAAUUACGACGAAAAUACGUUUUUAGCCAUUUUCAAAAUUGACUUUAAAAAGUAAGGAAUUUGGAGAAACAAUAUAUAUAUAAAAGUUUCGCAUUUCCUCAAGCUUUGCAACGCCAUAUCAUUUGCUGCAUUCGGACGUACGGUUAGAAAAAUAGAUCGAAAAUAUGAACUCGGUGGAACUUGUACCGUUUUCUAAAUUCCUCUUAAACCGUUCAAAAUUAGAAAAAACUUUCUACAUGAAAGAGUAGCGCAUUUUCAUGAGCUUUCCAACGCAUUAUUAUUUUCCUCGAUUGGAUUAGCCGUUUAGAAAUGACAUAAAAAAUAUGAACUCAGCUGUUCGGUUUACGAAAUUUUACGAUUUUCUAAAUUACUUUUUAACCGUAGGGAAUUAUAGAAAACUUUCAACAUGUGGAAAGAGCGGUUUUGCAGCAGCUUUCCAACACCAUAUUAUUUGUCUCAUUCCGAUAUACGGUUUUAAAAUGCGAUCGAAAAUACGAUUUACGUUUUUUGUAUGAAGAAAAAACGGUUUUCAAAACUGCUCUUAAACCGCUUUUUUGCCAAAAAAUUCACUUGGGUCGUGAUACUGGUGUUCAUAGCUUUCCAACGGUAUAUCGCAAGCCCCAUUUGGGCAAUGUUGGUGGAAAUCCCAACUCAAGCAGUAAAUUGCAAAAACGCAAUUUCAUCAUGACACGAGAGCAAAAUCCGCCAGCGAGCGAGAUUCCUAUUGAAAACUGGUAUUUAGUUGCUAAAAAAUGUUUCUAGAUUACACUAACAUCAUAUAGAACACUACUAACCAGAAUAAUUCGCGGGGGAAGCCACGGUUGCGAAGAUAGCCCGAAGGUCGGGUUCGUAAAGAGGGAAGUUCAGGCACACGUACAAACAAAAAUAGGUCACAGAAGUUCAACGUGAAAACAGCAUGAAGUUCAACUACAACGCUGAAUGAAUUUCAGAUGAAAAACUUUUAAAAUCGUUGCGAGUAUGAAAAAAUGAUCAACACGAGAAAGUUGCGUGUUUACAGCAGCUUUCCAUCGGUAUAUCACUUGCUCAAUUCCGGUGAGUGGAUGGAGAGCUAGGAGCAGUGGAUAGAGAUAUACGAGCAAAAAAACACGUGAAAAAUAGAGUGAAGUUCAAGUACAUGUGCCGAGAAGUUCAGGUUCUUCACGCGGUGCAUUUUCGAAGAAUCAGUUUCACGAUAAAGGCAGAAUGAAUGAUCUCGCCAUUUUUGUAAUUACUUGAAAAUGGCUAGGAAUCAUAGAAAACCAUCAAUAUGAAAAAGUUUUGCAUUUUCCGUAGCUUUUCAACGGUAUAUUAUUUGCCGCAUUUCGAUAAAGUAUGUAGAAAUUAUGCCAAAAAUACGUUUUUAUUCAUUUUCCAAUUUGACUUAAAGCUGUAAGGAAUUAGGAGAAACAAUAUAUACAAAAAAGUUUCGCAUUUGCUUAAGCUUUGCAACGCCGUAUUAUUUGUUGCAUUCGGACGUACGGUUAAAAAAUUAUCUUGAAAAUACGAACUCAGUGGAAUUUAUACCGUUUUCUGAAUUACUUUUAAACCGUUCCAAAUUAGAAAAAACUUUUAACAUGAAAAAGUAGCGCAUUUUCACAAGCUUUCCAAUGCAAUAUCAUUUUCCUCAAAUGGAUUAGCCGUUUAGAAAUUACAUUGAAAAUACGAACUCGGCUAUUUGGUUUGCGAAAUUUUUAUGAUUUUCAAAAUUACUCUUCAUCCACAGGGAAUUAGAGAAAACUUUCAACAUGUCGAAUGAGUGGUUUUGCAGCAGCUUUCCAACGCUAUAUUAUUUACCUCAUUCUGAUAAACAGUUUAUAAAUGCGACCGAAAAUUAGAUUCACGUUUUCUGUAUGAAGAAAAAACGGUUUUCAAAACUGCUCUUAAACCGCUUACAUUUUGCUAAAAAUUUAACUUGGAUUAUGGUAUUGGUGUCCAUAGCUUUCCAACGGUAUAUCGCAAGCCCCAUUUGGACACUUUUUAGCUGAAGUUCAACCUAGUACUCGGGGAGGUCAGGCGUGUUACUCGGGAAGUUCAUGUUGUGAUCAGAAUAUAUAUAUACACACACGCUGGAGGCUCAGCGUUCCUUUGCUAUGGUUUUCUAUAUCCACAGUCUCUCACCCUCUUCACCAGAUCUAAACAAGACUGCGUUGGCCUCUUGUCUCUCUCUCCCCCCUCACAGUUGGUGAAGGAGGCGUGCGGAUCCCGUCACACCGGGAAGGGGAGGAGGUGCAGUGUUCACUCUAUCGCCUUCGGCGAGGGAGGCAAUCCACUGUCGGCUGCGCUAUUCUCUUCCACCUAGUGCCUGUGCGGGAGAGCCACCGACCCCUUCUUCCUCGCUUCCGUACAUAGUGUGAGCAGAUACGGCCUCCCGCCACACGCGUUGCCACAUCCCGACGACCCUAAGGUAUAAAUUUCUUUGAAACCAUAAUUGCUCUAGCUGCAUGCGGAUCUUUUUUGAUUUUGUAGUCGAAUCUAGGUCUUGUUUCAAAGAGGAAAGAAGGGUGCGGUGGGGUGGAGCAUGAAUCUAGGACGUGGUUCAAUGAAGAAAGGAGGGAGGGAAAGUAGUAUAGACUCUAUCCAGCCGCUUUGUUGGUCGAAAAGGGAAAAAGGGGGUAACCCGAAACUGGGGGGUCGGGUAGUUUGUGCAGGACUAGAUUUGCUGCCCUCACAUAGGAAAAUGUUUCAAAGAGAACAAAUAUGGGAUCAACGCAGAUAUGCUGCUUGGCUACAUAUUCUGCAUCACCCAGGUAUAUGUGUGGACGCACAUGGUGCUGGCAUGUCCCAUGUCCCAUGUCCCAUACAACUAUUUUGUUGUUGUUUAUCUAAGAAUGCCGCCGGAAAAUUGAAGCAAUGCCACUGUUAAAAGUAAAUUACAUUUUUUAACGAAUGUUGUUUUAAGAGAAUGUCUCUAUUAAUAUGGAUCAAUGCAACCAUUUUAGAAAUGCUACUAUCCUACUUUGUUUUCCAUCAAGAUAAGUUAGAUGCUUCUUUCUGUCACUGUUUGUUUCAUCCUCCUUUAUCGACAAGUAAUUGUUUCCUUUUUUGCCUCUGUUAAAACAGGGGUAUCUAUUCAAUUUGUUGCUAUUGUUGCUUCACUAUGCGAAACACUUAUGUUUUAAGAGUGUUUUGUGAAGUUCAACUUGAAUGUCACAUCGGCGACUUUGCUUAAUUUUGGUGGAACUGCACAAAAGGAGAUCGAGAUUUGCUUCUAGUCUUCCUUGCAAUUUGUUUCAAAUCUUGGUCUCAUCCACAUGAUGGUGCAGUGUGCUUUGAGAUGUUGUGCUACUUGUUUUGGUACUAUUUUGGAUAAAUAUUGAACUGAAGCUAUUGAACUGCUGUCUUUUACCAUUAAGUGAGCAAAAAUUGUUCCAACCCAGACAUGGUGCUUGUUGCUUUCUUACACAAAACUCUACAUUACCCCCUUUAUAAGUAGAUGGAAGCACAUGGUGUUGUUGCUCCCACUCUCCUUUGGAACUGUUUAUGAUUUUUGUUAAUCUAAUGCUACUAGUAAAAUUAAGCAAUGCCACUCGCAGAAUUAACUACCGAAUCUUAGUUCAAAACUGCAACACUUGUUAGGGACUGGUGGAAUUACCAUUUUUGUGGCCGCAUGUUUCAUCCUCCUUUAUUUGCCAGUAAUUGAUUCCUUUUUUGCCUCUAUUAAAACAGGGAUAUCUAUUCAAGUUGUUGCUAUUGCGACAUUUUUCUUCGCUACGCGAAACACUUAUGUUUUAAGAGUGUUUUGUGCAGUUCAACUUGAAUGUCACACCGGUGACUUUGCUUAAUUUUUGUGGAACUGCACAAAAGGAGAUCGAGAUUUGUGUCCAGUCUUCGUGGUGAGUUGUUUCAAAUCUUUGUCUCAUCCACAUGAUGGUGCAGUGUGAUUUGAGAUGUUGUGCUACUUGUUUUGUACUGUUUUGGAUAAUUUUGAAUUGAAGCUAUUGAAUUGCUGACUUUUACCAUUAAGUGAGCAAAAGUUGUUCCAACCCAGACAUGAUGCUUGUUGCUUUCUUACACAAAACUCUGCAUCACCCCCUUUAUAAGUAGAUGGAAGCACAUGGUGUUGUUGCGCCCACUCUCCCCUGGAACUGUUUAUGCUUUUUGUUAAUCUAAUGCUGGUGGUAAAAUUAAGCAACGCCACUCACAGAAUUAACUACUGAAUCUUAGUUCAAAACUGCAACACUUGUAAGGGAUUGGCGGAAUUACCAUUUCUGUGGCCGCAUGUUUCAUCCUCCUUUAUUUGCCAGUAAUUGAUUCCUUUUUUCCUCUGUUAAAACAAGGAUAUCUAUUCAAGUUGUUGCUAUUGCGACAUUUUGCUUCGCUACGUGAAACACUUAUGUUUUAAGAGUGUUUUGUGCAGUUCAACUUGAAUGUCACACCAGCGACUUUGCUUAAUUUUGGUGGAACUGCCCAAAAGGAGAUCAAGAUUUUCAUAUAUGUGUUGGGAUUUCGUUCAAAUCUUCCUGUCGAGUUGUUUCAAAUCUUGGUCAAGAAAGGUCAGUACCGACUUUCAUCCACAUGAUGGUGCAGUGUGCUUUGAGAUGUUGUGCUACUUGUAUUGGUACUGUUUUGGAUAAAUGUUGAAUUGAAGCUAUUGAACUACUGUCUUUUACCAUUAAGUGAGCAAAAAUUGUUCCAACCCAGACAUGAUGCUUGUUUCUUUGUUACAACAAAACUCUGCAUCACCCCCUUUAUAAGUAGAUGGAAGCACAUGUUAUUCUUGCGCCCACUCUCCCCUAGAACUAUUUAUGCUUUUUGUUAAUAUAAUGCCGCUAGUAAAAUUAAGCAAUGCCACUCUCAGAAUUAAUUAACUAUUGAAUCUUAGUUCGAAACUUCAACACUUGUUAGGGAUUGGCGGGAUUACCAUUUUUGUAGCCGCAUGUUUCAUCCUCCUUUAUUGGCCAGUAAUUGAUUCCUUUUUUACCUUUUUUAAAACGACUCAGUCGCAUUGUUUUAGGAAUGGUACUUUCCUGCUUUGUAGUUCUUUCUACAUGUUUAACCAAGGUAUUGUUAAGAUAAUGUCUCUGUUAAAAUGAAUCAGACGCAUUGUUUUAGGAAUGAUACUUUUCUGCUUUGUUAUUCUUUAUACAUGUUGAAACAAGGCAUUGUUAAGAUAAUGUCUCAGCCAAUAUGAAUGAAUCACACUGAUGGAGAAUUGCUACUCUCCUGCUUUGUUUCCCUAUUAAGAUAAGGUAGAUCAGUAGAUGCUUUUUUUCUGGGAGUACAAGUCAUCAACCGUUAUUUCUUAGUAAUUGUUACCCUUAUACCUAUUGUUGCUUACAUGGAUAUCAAAAUUAAAGCUCGGUUUUAUUCCGACUUUGAUUUUAGUUGAACUGCACAAAAGGAGCCAAUGUGUCCAAGGCAAACUGCUGCAUUACUGGGUCCAGUUGGUCGUUCCACUUUGUAGAAAGAAGCAGUCACUAUUUGCGCUACAUUGCAGAAGGAAUGAUCGACAAGCUUUACAGAGUAUUAGUAGACGCUGGUGACAUGAAUAGUCUAUAGAGAGCAUAGGCGACUCUACAACACGUGGAGUGCACUUGGCAAAAAGUGCCCAAACAAGUACAAGAAGCCAUGACAGGACAAGUCUGUCAAUGUCAUUCUAAGCAACAAUGAUGGGGCAUCUGGGUAUGGUAAUCUGUUUACCAUACUUUCAGUUUGUUAGUCCACUGAUUGGUGGGUUGACACUGGGGCUAAUAUUCAUGUGUGUGCUGAUGUGUCUUAGUUUUUUGCAGCAUAUAAAUACGAAAUCCACAGGGAUGCUCAGCUUGAUUUUAGUGGAACUGCACAAAAUGUUGAGAUGGUUUGUGUCCUCCAUAAUAGUUCAUCAUGUACAAUACAUCGAAUGGUUCUCUAAUCAUUCGCCGUCAGCUUGAUCCACCAGACUAUCAGCUGACAAACUGAUGAAAAACCCUGCUCGUUCCACGAUCAUAGGCAUUACAUAUUUUGAAUGGGAAAAGCUUGUCAAAGUUUAAUCAUUGAUGUUAUCAAGAAGAUAUUAGUUUAAUAUAUUGGAAUUGGAAAACCUUGUCAAAAUUUGCUCAUUGAUGUUAGCCAGAAGACACACAUUUGAUAUUUUUGAGUGGGACGCCCUUUGCUGUGAGCAGCAUCGAUCGGUUUUUGCUAUUCCUGUGUUCAGUUUAGAAGUAAAUAGUUACUCUACUAAGAUGCAUAGUUACACAAAUGUUGACUUAUGUAAGGUAUUUUAAGAGUUUGUUCUGAAUAUUGUCUAUGUAAUGCCAUGCCUUGUGUUUGAUUGCAAGUUGAGCUUGGAAUGUUGUGGCAUGCGACAUCACGAGAUGUUUACCGUGCCUCCUCAGAAUAAUGCUUCGUAUUGUUUUGCAUGUUGUUCUAAUGCCAAUGAUUUGCUUGUUAAGAAGAUCAUCCUCUUAUGUUUUUUUGUGCUUAAGAAGUUCAUCGUGUUAUGUUUCAUUCAUAGACCAUACGACAAGUCGGGUAGGUUAGACGUGAAACCAUAUGAUCUUCCGACCAACUCAUCAUCUUAGGCCAUGAUUGGAUCGUCGUUUUCCAACCAAAACCGCUUGUAAAGCUAACGCUUGUAAAUAAAAGCAGAUGAUGUCGGGCGAAGCGCUUGGUUGGUCGAUUUCGACUAGUAAAAUAUACAUUGGUCUCUCAAAUUACACGCGUAACCCGCCGGUUUUACUUACAGACCUCGGGCCUUUGGUUUCAUUACUUGUGUAUUUUACGUGUUGUUUCCGAUGACGAGUAAAUUACACUUGUGUCUUAAUACAGGUGCGAAAUAAACCAGAGCUCCCAAGCGCGACCUUACCGUUUCAUGCCAUCUCAAUCUCUCAUAGGUGCUCAUAGGUGCCCGAUGAUCCUGGCUUCCUAAAUGAGCAGCGGGCGCUGUAUCAGACCAUCUGUAGGGCCCGCGAGGCCCUCUCUGUCGUCCUUCGAGUUGGUGCGCUCGAUGUGGAGCCGAGCAUUGUUAACAUGGUCAACGAACAUGAGGAUUCAGGAGAUGACUUUAUUUUGACUGGACGACAGUAGGGGCCCACUAGGGCCAUAGCCGUACGUACGCAAGUGCCUCCUUAUUAUGUACUAUUAUAUAUUUUUGCUUCCUUCUGGUUUCCUGACAUCACGGUCUGACACCAUUUUCAACCUAUGUAGUCAAUAUAAACGAGAUAAUUGCACAAGGUGCGGCCGACAGCUGGGACCAAGCAGCUCGAGCAGUAUUUGUGUUUUUGAGGCAUGAGCCCUGCAGAGUUUUUCUUGAGCGAUGUUUUCGUUGUUGUUCAGAGGAGAGCAUGGUAUUAACUGGGCGGGCUGUAGCCCAUCUAGCCUAGGCCAGAUAUCCAGCCCAGAUAUUAAUUUUUUUGAAGAUGAAAAUGGCUAUCCCAGCUAUACAUUUUUUUGAGGAAUACCCAGGCAAGGUAAACAUGUUAUUCUCCACCCCGCUAGGCUGCAAAUCUUUCUCGGGAGGGAUGCAUUAGGCUUAACAGGAAAAUGGGCUUUAAGAAAUAAUAAAUGGGAUGUAAUUAUAAAAAAUGGGCAGUAACUAUAAAAAAUGCACCAAACACGUAAUUAGUUUAUAAAAUGUUAUUUUUGGAUUUUGAAAAUCUUAAUUUUUAAUUGUUGCGCGCGCAAUGUUUCGUUCGAUUUUUACAUAAUACAAAUUUAUAUUUAUCUAGCUAGAAAUUUCGGGAUAAAAAUAUUUCGGAUCCCAUCAAAAUGUGGGAAAUUUUAUUAAAUUAUGUCUUGAACGGUUGGUUGAAAUUAUUAAUCAUUGUCCUAGGUAGAAAAUGGGAUGUACUUUUAACGAACUGUAAAUGGGUUGUAGUAAAUUCCAUUAGAAUUCAAAAAUGGGUUGUACAUUCUUACAAAUUGCAAAUGGGCUAUUAGUUCUCUGACACACACUUGUGGGCCUACUAAGUUGACGCGUCCCCUAAAAAAAGAAGUUGACGCAUAUGCAAGGCUUUGUCAACUUAUAGUCAACACACGGUUCUAGCAGCAGUGGCCGUUGGAUGUCUAUCCAACGGAUGUCCUGCUUCUUCUUCAAUCUCGGAUAUUCUAGCUUCGGCCGCCCAAAAAAUGAUUCCUCCCUCUGACAUCUGGGGCACGCCGUUUUGGAGACUGACAUGUGGGCCUACUAAGUUGACGCGUACCAAGGGCUUUGUCAACUUAGUCAAUAUAAACGAUUCUAGCUGCAGUGACCGUACGAUGUCCAUCCAACGACCGUCGUGCUUCUUCAACCUCUGGUCUUCUUUCUCCAGCCGCCAAAAGCAGCGCCGGUUGUGCCGCCUGCUCCUACCUCCCGUGGCCGGCUGUGCUGUUGUGGAGGCCUCACCACCCCCAACUACUCCCACCGCUGGUGUAACGCCCCGAGACCGACGCUCCAGAUGCCUUCCAUGGAUCCUGAGUUUCGUCAUGGAUUUUAUUUUGUUCGUUGCAUUUCAUCAUUGCAUCUUUUGCAUUGCAUCAUGUCAUCUCUUGCAUUGCAUCAUGUCAUCAUGCAACCCUUGUUAAAAACUCGAAAUAAAUUGCAUGGAUCUUCGAUCCAUUUAAAUCGAGGGAAAUGCACAUGGUGAUUUCUCUUUAAAACAUAUUCAAGGUCUCCUACUAUUAUUAGGGAGCUAUAUUAAAUUAUAUUCCAUUAAUUUGGAAUUUACCACAACACACGUGCAUGUUAAAUCCCUUGGCCUUUCCUUCUUCGAGUUUUGACUCUGUAGCCUUGCCCAUAAUUCUUUUCCCUUUUAUUGAGGCUCCUCCUUAAAUCUCAACAUUUUUGACCACACCAAACCUAGUCCCAAUUCAAACCCAUUUGAAUGAUAUUCAAAUGAGUUUGAAUUUAAAUCUUGCAUCCAUGCCUCUUUUCUAUUUUUCUUGGAUCAAGCUCAUUUUUAUGAGUCCAGGAAAAAUACCUCCUGCUCAAGCUCCUCUAACAUCUUUUUCUUUUCUUUCUCAUCUCUAUUUUGUAGAGAGAGAGGAGAGCCCAGCAGCCGGGCCGGCCUGCUUCCUCGCAUUCGUCCUGGCCCAUUAGCCUAGCUCGCACCCCUACCUAACCCUAGCCUCUCUCCUGCUCGAUCCACAUCUCCCUCGCAGCCUCUCUUCCUCCCCUUGUUCCCCAUCGCGCGCCGCACAUCCACACACACCCGCGCCGCACGCCCGAUCCCCUCUCCCAAUCUUACUUCUCGCUACGCCACCAUCUCUCCCUCUUGCUGCCCUCAUCCCGCCCCCGUUGCCUCCUCCUCGUCGCCUGAGACCGCUGCGCCUCCCAUCCCUGCAACCGAAGACCUCGUUCCCAUGGUCUAGGCUGCCGCAUCGAGCUCUUCCCGACGCCUCCCAUGGAGACAGUGCCUUGCUGCCGCUGUUCUUCCGACGCUCGUUCCCCAUCAUCUCUGUUGUCGCCUCCUCCUUGUCCAACUCCGGUGGCUCCACACCUGCAUCUCCACCGGCACCAUCCAUCCCCUCGCCCACGUGUCUCCUCCACCAGCAGCCUGCAACGCCCGAGGGGAGCCGAGCUCCUCCCCGUCCCCAUGGUGGUUGCUUCCCUGCAGCCGGCGUCCAAACCCCACUUCUCCUACCUUGCUGCUCGUCCCAGCCGCGUUGACUACGCCCUUUGCGCCUCCUCUCUGCUUUGCCGUGGGCUGCAGCCUGCGCCAAGGCGCAGCGACCCCCUGCACACCGAGGCCUCCGUGCACCUCCUGCUCCCGUCGACCCUGCACCAUGCCUCUUCCAUCCUUGAGAUCGCCAAGACCGAGACCUCCUUGAAUAGGAGCAUUUCUUUUGGAUCGCCAAGUACCGCACCGAGCGCCAAGUACCUCUACGGAUGCACUGGACGUCUACGACAAGUGUACCUCUACAUCCUGGAAUCGCCAAGUACCUCGACGCCGAAGACUCGUGUACAACUACUGACACCCGUGGAUUUCACCAAGUACCUCUACCGACGACCUGAACAUCUACGUAACGUGUACAACUACCGUCGCCGUGUACCACUACUUCCACUACCGCCGACAUGUACGACUAUGAAAUGUGUACAACUACUUCCCCUACGACCCGUGAACGACUACUUCCCUCGACGAACCCGAACCACUCCAAAAAUGCUUGCUUCAAAGGUAUAACCCCGAGACGAUCAACCGUGGACCGAAUGCAUGUGUUGUAUGAGAUGCUCGUGUUUGCGCCGUGCCCGUUUGCUUCAUGCACGUUCCUCCUCGUUUGCCAUGCCAUCGACCCGUGGGAACCCGGUAUUCGGGAUCACCCCACCAUCUUUUGCAUGUUCCGCACAUCCACAUCUUUGUUUGCACCGGUCACUCCACGAGUUAUCGGAACCGAGAUGUUGCCGUGGCAUCAUUUUCGGAUUCGUCGCCAUGGCACCCUUUCUUUCCACCACGGUGACAAAUGCUUCAUAACAUGCUCAUGUCAAUCUUUUCAUAAAAUUGCAUAAAACUUGCAUUGUCAUUCGCAUCAUGAUAACAACAUUUAAAAUGUUUAUAUUUGUUGUUUCCAUUAAUUUGCUAAAUGCAUAUGGGGAUUUACCGGAUUCGUUGGUUGUUGUUCCGACCUCAUUUAAACUUGCCUAGAGAGGUAGUAUUUAUUAUGCUUCACCUCUUGCCAUGUUUAACAACAUUUAAUAUUGUUGGGUACAAAACCGAGAGAGAACUAAAUAAUUGAUGUGGUGUUUCGUCAAUAUGCAACUCGUUGCAUAUUGAGCUCCACUUAAUUUGUAGUAUUAUUUGGGCACUUUGCCAUGCUUUUAAACCGGUCAUGCAUCAUACUUGGUUGUGCAUCAUGCCAUGUUUAUGUAUUGGUUGUUUACCAUGUUGUUUGCUUCUUUCCGGUUGUGCUUCUCCUCGAUAGUUCCGGUAAUGUUGCGAUUGUGAGGAUUCGUUCGACUACUCCCAUUCAUCUUCUUCAUGGACUCGUUCUUCUUCCUUGCGGGAUUUCAGGCAAUAUGACCGCUACCCUGGAUCUCACUACUAUCAUUGCUAUGCUAGUUGCUUCACUCUAUCACUAUGUUGCACUACCUAUCAUUUACUCUUCAAGCCUCCCAAAUUGCCAUGAACCUCUAACCUUUGACACCCUUCCUAGCAAACCGUUGCUUGGCUAUGUUACCGCUUUGCUCAGCCCCUCUUAUAGCGUUGUUAGUUGCAGGUGAAGUUGAAGAUUGCCCCAUGAUGGACAGGGUUAUGUUGGGAUAUCACAAUAUCUCUUAUAUUAUUAAUGCAUCUAUAUACUUGGUAAAUGGUGGAAGGCUCGGCCUUAUGCCUGGUGUUUUGUUCCACUCUUGCCGCCCUAGUUUUCGUCAUACCGGUGUUAUGUUCCCGGAUUUUGCGUUCCUUGCGCGGUUGGGUGAUUUAUGGGACCCCCUUGACAGUUCGCUUUGAAUAAAACUCCUCCAGCAAGGCCCAACCUUGGUUUUACCAUUUGCCUCACCACCACCUAUAUCUUUCCCUUGGGUCGGCCAACCCGAGGGUCAUCUUCAUUUUAGCCCCCCCGGGCCAGUGCUUGUCUAAGUGUUGGUCCGAACCGAGUAGACUGCGGGGCCCCCUCGAGGAAACUCGAGGUCUGGUUUUACUCGUAGGAUGUCUCAUCCGGUGUUGCCCUCAGAACGAGAUAUGUGCAGCUCCUAUCGGGAUUGUCGGCGCAUCGGGCGGCUUUGAUGGUCUUGUUUUACCAUUGUCGAAACGUCUUGUAAACCGGGAUUCCGAGACUGAUCGGGUCUUCCUAGGAGAAGGUAUAUCCUUCGUUGAUCGCAAGAGCUUAUCAUGGGCUAAGUUGGGACACCCCUGCAGGGUAUAAUCUUUUGAAAGCCGUGCCCGUGGUUAUGGGAAGAUGGGAAUUUGUUAAUGUCCGGUUGUAGAUAACUUGACACCAUAUCCGAAUUAAAACGCAUCAACCGUGUGUGUAGCCGUGAUGGUCUCUUUUCGGCGGAGUCUGGGAAGUGAACACGGUUUUGGGUUAUGUUUGACGUAACUAGGAGUUCAGGAUCACUUCUUGAUCAUUGCUAGCUUCACGACCGUUCCAUUUGCUCUCUUCUCGCUCUUAUUUGCGUAUGUUAGCCACCAUAUGUGCUUAGUCGCUGCUGCAACCUCACCACUUUAUCCCUUCCUUUCCCAUUUAGCUUUGCUAGUCUUGAUACCCAUGGUAAUGGGAUUGCUGAGUCCUCGUGGCUCACAGAUUACUACAACAACAGUUGCAGGUAUAGGUUACGCGAUAAUCGUGACGCGAGAGCGAUGUUUGCUUGUUUUGGAGUUCUUCUUCUGCUUCUUCUUCGAUCAGGGGAUAGGUUCCAGGUCGGCAGCCUGGGCUAGCAGGGUGGAUGUCAUUUGAGCUUCUAUUUGUGUUUCAUCCGUAGUCAGAUGUUGAUAUUGUGUAUGAUGUAUUGUUGUAUUCGUGUGGCAUUGUAUGCCUCUUGUAUGUAUCCCCAACUAUUAUGUAAUGUUGAUGUAAUGAUAUCCACCUUGGAAAAGCGUAUCAAUAUGCGGUUCUAUCCUUGGUGGGACCUUCGAGUCUCUUUAGGAUAGUAUCGCAUAUUGGGUGUUUUCUUUUGGUGGGCCCAUAACCCACAGGUCUUUUCCCAGGAUUUUACCUGACUCUUCGAAUUAUCAGGAGCGAUUCUCAAAUUCAUUUCCAAGUUUGACGUAAGAAUGAAUUUUCAUCAAUCAGAUGUCUUCUUCAAGAUCGCUUUCAAAUUCUUUUGAUCGUUGGUUCAACCUUUCUAUUCUUCAUACCGGAGUGUCUCAACAAUUUUGGUGGUUCUCGUCAUCAUUCUCACCAUGUGAAGACCGAAGAAGUGUUUCUUCUAAAAUCUUGGUCCAUUCUCUUGAAGAUUCUUAGUGCUAGCUUAUGCCAUCCUCUCGUAAUUGUUUUCGAUUGUGAGAAUUCUUUUCUUACCAUCCGGAGUAUUUCAUGAGUUGUUUCCAUUUUUUUUCCUCCGAAGGCCAUCAUGUCAUAAUUCUUCAUUCUCAACAUGUAGCUAUCAUUCUCCAAAUCUUACCGGUGCAUCGUUCAAAUACCCUCUAAUCAGUUCAUGAUCUCUUCGUUCUCAUGUAUCUAAAUCCCCUCAAGUAUCUUCAUUCGUUUUCCAAUUCUUCCCGGUGAAUUUUGUCUUUGCUACUUUCAUUUUCAAUUCUUAUGGUGGUUCGUUCAAGAUAUCACUUCCUUUGUUAUCAUAUCAAUUCAUUCGUGGUUUCCAAAUCCCACCGAUGGUUCCAUAAAUACCUUCUCAAGUUCGCGCUAUAUCUCUUUUAAUCCUUUCUAUGGGAAUAAGUAGUAUGCCAAAUCCAUUGCUUGUCAUCAAUUUAAUUUGAUGAAGGAUAAGCAUACAAUAAAUAUUAUUCUUAUUUCCUCGAGGUGAUUCAAUUCUUUUCUUCCGGAGAUUGUUCAUGAUGAAGUAAUUCUCGGUUCUAGUGUUUCAUCUUUUUUUUUCUGGAGUUCCAUGUUUUUCCGCAUUAUCGUCACGAAGCUCCAUCUAAAUCAUUGCAAGGCUUCACCUUGUGUUUUCAACUUCUCCUUCCUUUUACCAUCCUUUUAUUACCAGAGUUCUUCAUGGAGGCUCUACAUGAUGGUUCGUCAAGGAUUCUUUUCAUUCUUCAAAUGUUCUUCAAGAUUUCUCUUGAAGUUAAGAUUAGCCAAGCUAUACUCUAAAAAUAAACAUGGUGCUCAACACAUGUUUUGUUUUGAGGAGCUCAAGUUUUCUUAAUCUUGCAUUCCAAAGUGCAAUUCCUUCUAUCUUGUCUUCGAGAUGGUGCUAUGUCAUCCUUGACAAUUUCUCUUCAUGUUUCAUGAUUCAUAUGUUGUCAAGAAUGAGGUAUUUUAAAUCCAUCAUUUUCUCUUCGUUCAAGAGAUCUUUUCAACAAAUCAACUUCUUCGUUGGAGUUAUCUUGGGUCAUAUUUCACCUAAAGCCUUCCCUAAGGAAUGUUGCUAUUUGUGGUGCUUAUCAAUGAUCCAAUUUUCCUCCUUCUCUUCUCGGUGAAGAAUUUUUUCAUCUCUUUGGUGCUCUCAAUCAAAUCAAUGGUUUCCAUAGUGGCCGGUUGUCACCUCAUAGUCUUGAGAUGUUUUCCAUAAGCCCACUACGAGCUUAUUCGUUUCGUUGUUGGUUUUCCAACAAUUCCAUUCUAACCUUCUUGGAAGGGUGCUUUCCAAGAUUAUUUGUGGCAGAAGUUGGCAUUUUCUUCUCCAUUCUUUUAUUCCAAUGAUCUAUCUUCUAUUCUUUGUUCCGGAGGCAGUGUGUUGUUGAUUUCAUCAAGUAUCAUCCCAUCUUCUCAAGUUCAUGUUAUAUUCCUUCCAUGUUCAACCGGAGUGCUGCCCGAAUUCUUCCUCUCUCAUCUUGUUUUAACCGGAGUGGUUUCAAAUUCUAUCUUGUCCAUUAAACUCUUGGUUCAUGCCUUUGCAACCUUCUUGGUUCUUGUCGUAUCACUUGUUCCUCUUAUCUAACAGAGUGUUUCAUUUCCUUUCGUCUCCGUUGUGGCAUUUCUUCAAGUUUUCUACCUCUCAAGGUUUGCUGGUUUCACUCGUUUGUCAAAGAAGCAACUUAGUUUUACCUCUUCUCUUCCUCUUCCGUUUUCUCUCCAGUGCCAUCCUAGAUCUGGGACGAGAUCCUCUUGUAGUGGUGGAGUGUUGUAACGCCCCGAGACCGAUGCUCCAGAAGCCUUCCAUGGAUCCCAAGUUUCGUCGUGGAUUUUAUUUUGUUCGUUGCAUUUCAUCAUUGCAUCUUUUGCAUUGCAUCAUGUCAUCUCUUGCAUUGCAUCAUGUCAUCAUGCAACCCUUGUUAAAAACUCUAAAUAAAUUGCAUGGAUCUUCGAUCCAUUUAAAUCGAGGGAAAUGCACAUGGUGAUUUCUCUUUAAAACAUAUUCAAGGUCUCCUACUUUUAUUAGGGAGCUAUAUUAAAUUAUAUUCCAUUAAUUUGGAAUUUACCACAACACACGUGUAUGUUAAAUCCCUUGGCCUUUCCUUCUUCGAGUUUUGACUUUGUAACCUUGCCUAUAAUUCUUUUCCCUUUUAUUGAGGCUCCUCCUUAAAUCUCAACAUUUUUGACCACACCAAACCUAGUCCCAAUUCAAACCCAUUUGAAUGAUAUUCAAAGGAGUUUGAAUUUAAAUCUUGCAUUCGUCCCUCUUUUCUAUUUUUCUUGGAUCAAGCUCAUUUUUAUGAGUCCGGGAAAAAUACCUCCUGCUCAAGCUCCACCUCUAACAUCUUUUUCUUUUCUUUCUCAUCUCUGGUUUUUUUAGAGAGAGAGGAGAGCCCAGCAGCCGGGCCGGCCUGCUUCCUCGCAGUCAUCCUGGCCCAUUAGCCCAGCUCGCACCCCUACCUAACCCUAGCCUCUCCCCUGCUCGAUCCACAUCUCCCUCGCAGCCUCUCUUCCUCCCCUCGUUCCCCAUCGUGCGCCGCACAUCCACACACACCCACGCCUCAUGCCCGAUCCCCUCUCCCAACCUUCCUUCUCGCUACGCCGCCAUCUCUCCCUCCUGCUACCCUCAUCCCGUACCCUCUGCCUCCUCCUUGUCGCCUGAGACCGCUAUGCCUCCCAUCCCUGCAACCGAAGACCUCGUCCCCAUGGUCUAGGCUGCCGCAUCGAGCUCUUCUCGACGCCUCCCAUGGAGACAGUGCCUUGCUGCCGCUGCUCUUCCGACGCUCGUUCCCCAUCAUCUCCGUCGUCUCCUCCUCCUUGUCCAACUCCGGUGGCUCCACACCUACAUCUCCACCGGCGCCAUCCAUCCCCUCGCCCGCGCGUCUCCUCCACUAGCAGUCUGCAAUGCCCGAGGGGAUCCGAGCUCCUCCCCGUCCCCAUGGUUGUUGCUUCCCUGCAACCGGCGUCCAAACCCCGCUUCUCCUACCUUGCUGCUCGUCCCAGCCGCAUUGACUACGCCCUUUGCGCCUCCUCUCUGCUUUGCCAUGGGCUGCAGCCUGCGCCAAGGCGCAGCGACCCCCUGCACACCGAGGCCUCCGUGCACCUCCUGCUCCCAUCGACCCUACACCAUGCCUCUGCCAUCCAUGAGAUCUCCAAGACCAAGACCUCAUUGAACAGGAGCAUUUCUUUUGGAUCGCCAAGUACCGCACCGAGCGCCAAGUACCUCUACGGAUGCACUGGACGUCUACGACAAGUGUACCUCUACAUUCUGGAAUCGCCAAGUACCUCGACGCCGAAGACCCGUGUACAACUACUGACACCCGUGGAUUUCAUCAAGUACCUCUACCGACGACCUGAACAUCUACGUAACAUGUACACUACCAUCGCCGUGUACCACUACUUCCACUACCGCCGACAUGUACGACUAUGAAACGUGUACGACUACUUCCCCUACGACCCGUGAAUGACUACUUCCCUCGACGAACCCGAACCACUCUGAAAAUGCUUGCUUCAAAGGUAUAACCCCGAGACGAUCAACCGUGGACCAAAUACAUCUGUUGUAUGAGAUGCUCGUGUUUGCCUUGUGCCCGUUUGCUUCAUGCACGUUCCUCCUCGUUUGCCAUGCUGUCGACCAGUGGGAACCCGGUAUCAGGGAUCACCCCACCAUCUUUUGCAUGUUCCGCACAUCCACAUCUUUGUUUGCACCAGUCACUCCACGAGUUAUCGGAACCGAGAUGUUGCCAUGGCAUCAUUUUCGGAUUCAUCGCCGUGGCACCCUUUCUUUCCACCACGGUGACAAAUGCUUCAUAACAUGCUCAUGUCAACGUUUUCAUAAAAUUGCAUAAAACUUGCAUUGUCAUUCGCAUCAUGAUAACAACAUUUAAAAUGUUUAUAUUUGUUGUUUCCAUUAAUUUGCUAAAUGCAUAUGGGGAUUUACCGGAUUCGUUGGUUGUUGUUCCGACCUCAUUUAAACUUGCCUAGAGAGGUAGUAUUUAUUAUGCUUCACCUCUUGCCAUGUUUAACAACAUUUAAUAUUGUUGGGUACAAAACCGAGAGAGAACUAAAUAAUUGAUGUGGUGUUUCGUCAAUAUGCAACUCGUUGCAUAUUGAGCUCCACUUAAUUUGUAGUAUUGUUUGGGCACUUUGCCAUGCUUUUAAACCGGUCAUGCAUCAUACUUGGUUGUGCAUCAUGCCAUGUUUAUGUAUUGGUUGUUUACCAUGUUGUUUGCUUCUUUCCGGUUGUGAUUUUCCUCGAUAGUUCCGGUAAUGUUGCGAUUGUGAGGAUUUGUUCGACUACCCCCGUUCGUCUUCUUCAUGGACUCGUUCUUCUUCCUUGCGGGAUUUCAGGCAAGAUGACCGCUACCCUGGAUCUCACUACUAUCAUUGCUAUGCUAGUUGCUUCGCUCUAUCGCUAUGUUGCGCUACCUAUCAUUUACUCUUCAAGCCUCCCAAAUUGCCAUGAACCUCUAACCUUUGACACCCUUCCUAGCAAACCAUUGCUUGGUUAAGUUACCGCUUUGCUUAGCCCCUCUUAUAGCGUUGUUAGUUGCAGGUGAAGUUGAAGAUUGCCCCAUGAUGGACAUGGUUAUGUUGGGAUAUCACAAUAUCUCUUAUAUUAUUAAUGCAUCUAUAUACUUGGUAAAGGGUGGAAGGCUCGGCCUUAUGCCUGGUGUUUUGUUCCACUCUUGCCGCCCUAGUUUCCGUCAUACCGGUGUUAUGUUCCCGGAUUUUGCGUUCCUUGCGCGGUUGGGUGAUUUAUGGGACCCCCUUGACAGUUCGCUUUGAGUAAAACUCCUCCAGCAAGGCCCAACCUUGGUUUUACCAUUUGCCUCACCACCACCUAUACCUUUCCCUUGGGUCGGCCAACCCGAGGGUCAUCUUUAUUUUAGCCCCCCCCUCGGGCCAGUGCUUGUCUAAGUGUUGGUCCGAACCGAGUAGACUGUGGGGCCCCCUCGAGGAAACUCGAGGUCUUGUUUUACUCGUAGGAUGUCUCAUCCAGUGUUGCCCUGAGAACGAGAUAUGUGCAGCUCCUAUCGGGAUUGUCGGCGCAUCGGGCGGCUUUGCUGGUCUUGUUUUACCAUUGUCGAAACGUCUUGUAAACCGGGAUUCCGAGACCGAUCGGGUCUUCCUGGGAGAAGGUAUAUCCUUCGUUGAUCGCGAGAGCUUAUCAUGGGCUAAGUUGGGACACCCCUGCAGGGUAUAAUCUUUCGAAAAUCGUGCCCAUGGUUAUGGGAAGAUGGGAAUUUGUUAAUGUCCGGUUGUAGAUAACUUGACACCAUAUCCGAAUUAAAAUGCAUCAACCCUGUGUGUAGCCGUGAUGGUCUCUUUUCGGUGGAGUCCGGGAAGUGAACACGGUUUUGGGUUAUGUUUGACGUAAGUAAGAGUUCAGGAUCACUUCUUGAUCAUUGCUAGCUUCACGACCUUUCCAUUUGCUCUGUUCUCGCUCUUAUUUGCGUAUGUUAGCCACCAUAUGUGCUUAGUCGCUGCUGCAACGUCACCACUUUAUCCCUUCCUUUCCCAUUAAGCUUUGCUAGUUUUGAUACCCAUGGUAAUGGGAUUGCUGAGUCCUCUUGGCUCACAGAUUACUACAACAAGAGUUGCAGGUACAGGUUACGCGAUGAUCAUGACGCGAGAGCGAUGUUUGCUUGUUUUGGAGUUCUUCUUCUGCUUCUUCUUUGAUCAGGGGAUAGGUUGCAGGUCGGCAACCUGGGCUAGCAGGGUGGAUGUCAUUUGAGCUUCUGUUUGUAUUUCAUUCGUAGUCGGAUGUUGAUAUUGUGUAUGAUGUAUUGUUGUAUUCGUGUGGCAUUGUAUGCCUCUUGUAUGUAUCCCCAUCUAUUAUGUAAUGUUGAUGUAAUGAUAUCCACCUUGCAAAAGCGUAUCAAUAUGCGGUUCUAUCCUUGGUGGGACCUUCGAGUCUCUUUAGAAUAGUAUCGCAUAUUGGGCAUGACAGUUGGCCAGGCCAUCCCUCCACUCACCCAGACCCCCUGUUAUUCUGCGGCGACGGCAGCCUCACACCGAACCCAAACCAGUGAACCCUCGUACUCCUCUCCGCGUGGGCAUCCACUGUCGUGUCUUCCCCGGCUCCACGUCCCCUUUGUAGGCCUCGUCGUCGUCCACUGCCCUAGUGCUCUCGGUGCGGCGUGCUGAACGUGGUCAAGGAACGACUUCCAUCGGACGUGGACUGUACGUGGAGAGGGUGACGGCUCGGUCCACGGCCGCACACAAGGAAAUGCCUCCUUAUUACGCACAAAAUAAUGAUUCAUCCAGCUAACAUCUGGGACCCACCGGAAGGGCCUCUGUAUUUCACGAAAAAACAUUUCCCCGCUGACAGGUCGGACCUACCAGCUAUAUCUUUGCACGCAAGGAAGUGCCUCCUUAUUACACAAAAAAAUGAAUACUCCCCGUGCUAGUUGGGACCCAGCAUAGUGGAAGGCUGACAUGUGGGCCUAAUAAGUUGACGUGUACCAAGGGCUUUGUGAACUUAGUCAAUAUAAAUGAUUCUAGCUGCAGUUACCGUACGAUGUCCAUCCAACGACUAUAGUGCUUCUUCAACCUUUGGUCUUCUUGCUCCAGCCGCCCAAAGCAGCAUCGGUCGUGCCGCCUGCUCCUGCCUCCCUUGGUCGGUUGUGCUGCCGCGGAGGCCUUACCACCCCCUACUACUCCCACCGCUAGCCAGGCCAUCCCUCCACUCACCCACACCCCCUGUUAUUCUGCGGUGACGGCAGCCUCACACCACAGCCGAACCAGUGAACCCUCGUACUCCUCUCCGCGUGGGCAUCCACUGUCGCGUCCUCCCCGGCUCCGCGUCGUCCCCUUCCUAGGCCUCGCCAUCGUGCACUGCCGUGGUGCUCUCGGCGCGGUGUGGUCAAUGUGGUCAACGACCGACUUCCAUCGGAAGAGUACUGUACGUGGAGAGGCUGACAGCUAGGUCCAUGGCAACCGCAAGGAAGUGCCUCCUUAUUACGUGCAAAAUAAUUAUUCCUGCACCUGACAACAGGGACCCACCGGAUAGGCCACCCUAUUUUGCAAAAAAAUAUUUCCCCCUGACUGCUGGGACCCACCGGACGGGCCACCGUAUUUCACGAAAAAACAUUCCCCCCGCUGUCAGCUCAGACCCACCGGAAGUGCCUCCUUAUUACGCACAAAAAAAAUGAAUAGUCCCCUUUCUAGCUGGGAUCCUCCUUGGUGGGAGGCUGACUUGUGGGCCUACUAAGUUGAUGGGGACGGAGGGCUUUGUCAACUUAGUCAAUAUGAAUGAUUCUAGCUCCAGUGACCGUACGAUGUCCAUCCAACGGCCGUAGUGCUUCUUCAACCUCGGGUCUUCUUGCUCCAGCCGCCCAAAGCAGCGCCGGUCGUGCCGCAUGCUCCUGCCUCCCGUGGCUGGCUGUGCUGCCGCGGAGGCCCCACUGCCUCCUACUAUUCCCAUCGCUGGCUAGGCCCUGCGGUGAUGGUAGCCUCACACCACACCCAAACUAGUGAACCCUCGUACUCCUCUCCGCGCGGGCUUCCACUGUCGCGUCUUCCCCGACUCCGCGUCGUCCCCUUCCUAGGCCUCGCCGUCGUCUACCGCCCUGCUGCUCUUGGCGCGGCGUGGUCAACAUGGUCAAGGAACGACUUCCAUUGGAAGAGUAAUGUACGUGGAGAGGCUGACAGCUGGGUCCACGGCGGCCACAAGAAAAUGCCUCCUUAUUACCUGCAAAAUAAUUAUUCCUCCACCUGACAGCAGGGACCCACCAGAUAGGCCACCGUAUUUCGUGAAAAAAUGUUUCCCCCUGACUCCUGGGACCCACUAGCUAUAUCUUCGCACGCAAGGAAAUGCGUUCGGGCAACAAAAAUGAUUCGCCCCCCUGACUGCUGGGACCCACCAGCUACAUCUUUGCACGCAAGGAAGUGCCUGACAGUCGGGACCCACCUGGUCGAAGCGUACGUAGCGUUGUCAUUCUGGUUGUGACGUGUACGUAAAUACUAGUCGAUGUAGACGCGCACAUGUCGUAGUAGACGCGCGCACGUAGCAUAUACAUGUACGUAUAGCGGCCAGGGUGCAAGAAAGUAAAUACGACCACGUACGUACCUACGGGCAGGGUCUCGAAUGCCUACUCGCGCAUACGUACGGCCAUGGCUCAUGUACAUGGCUGGGUCGGAACGGAGAAACUGCGUCGUCGUCGUGUUCAUGGGGAGACAACCGGCUGGGUCAGAACAGAAUGCGUCGUCGUGUUCAUUGGGAGGGCUUGGACAGAAGCUGAUGGAAACGAGGCCUGGCGUACCGCGGAACGGAGGAAACGGCCUUGUGUUCGACCGGCCAUGGUCGAAACGGGAUCCUGUUCAUCGAGAGGGGUCUGGCGUACUGCAAAACAAAGGAAAUGGACUUUUGUUGGACCUCCUACGGUCGAAACGGGGUCCUGUUGAUCGGGAGGGGUGUGGCGUACUGCAAAACGGAGGAAACGAACUUGUGUUGGAGUGCUAUUGUCGAAAAAGUGGUCCUGUUCAUCGGGAGGGGGUGUGGCAUACCGCAAAACGGGACUCCACAAGAUACUGUUCAUCUCCACCAUUGACCUCCUCCGGCCUCCACGGGCUACUGUUCAUCCACCGUCGACCUCCUCCAGCCUCCACCCGCGACUGUUCAUCCACGGGCUCCUGUUCAUCCAGCCUCCACCGCGCGCUACUCCACCGGGUACUGUUCAACCAUCCCUCUCCACGGGGUCCAGUUCAACCACCCCUCCAUGGGCUACUGUUCAUCCAGCCCUCCACCGGCUCCUUAUCAACCAGCCCUCCACGGGGUUGUCCUGUUCAUCCAGCCCUCCACGCGGUCCUGUUCAUCCAGCCCCAACCGGCUCGAUCGAUCGGGGUCCUGUUCAUCCAGAGGCAACACCACGAGGUACUAUUCAUCCACCCCCACCGGGUCCUGUUCAUCCAACNNNNNNNNNNNNNNNNNNNNNNNNNNNNNNNNNNNNNNNNNNNNNNNNNNNNNNNNNNNNNNNNNNNNNNNNNNNNNNNNNNNNNNNNNNNNNNNNNNNNNNNNNNNNNNNNNNNNNNNNNNNNNNNNNNNNNNNNNNNNNNNNNNNNNNNNNNNNNNNNNNNNNNNNNNNNNNNNNNNNNNNNNNNNNNNNNNNNNNNNNNNNNNNNNNNNNNNNNNGAGGAAAGGGUGAUGCAGCAAUAUAGCGUAAGUAUUUCCCUUAGUUUUUGAAAACCAAGGUAUCAAUCCAGUAGGAGGUUCCUCACAAGUCCCACGCACCUACACAAACAAACAAGAACUCGCAACCAACACAAUAAAGGGGUUGUCAAUCCCUUCAUGGCCACUUGCGAAAGUGAGAUCUGAUAGAGAUAAUAUGAUAAGAUAAAUAUAUUUUUGGUAUUUUAUGAUAUAGAUUGGAAAAUUAAAGAUGCAAAUACAAGUAGAUUGAAAGCUUAUAUGAUAAGAGAUAGACCCGGGGGGCAUAGGUUUCACUAGUGGGUUCUAUCAAGAUAGCAUAAUUAUUAUGGUGGGUGAACAAAUUACUGUCGAGCAAUUGAUAGAAAAGCGCAUAGUUAUGAGAUUAUCUAGGCAUGAUCAUGUAUAUAGGCAUCACGUUCAUGACAAGUGGACCGACUCCUGCCUGCAUCUACUACUAUUACUCCACACAUCGACUGCUAUCCAGCAUGCAUCUAGAGUAUUAAGUUCAUGAAGAACAGAGUAACGCAUUAAUAAAGAUGACAUGAUGUAGAGGGAUAAACUCAUGCAAUAUGAUAUAAACCCCAUCUUUUUAUCCUCGAUGGCAACAAUACAAUACGUGCCUUGCUGCCCCUGCUGUCACUGGGAAAGGACACCGCAAGAUUGAAUCCAAAGCUAAGCACUUCUCCCAUGGCAAGAAAGAUCAAUCUAGUAGGCCAAACCAAACUGAUUAUUCGAAGAGACUUGCAAAGAUAACUUAAUCACAUAUAAUGGAAUUCAGAGGAGAUUCAAAUAUUUCUCAUAGAUAAACUUGAUCAUAAACCCACAAUUCAUCGGAUCUCGACAAACACACCGCAAAAAGAGUUACAUCGAAUAGAUCUCAAAGAAGAGGAAGGAGAACUUUGUAUUGAGAAUCAAAGAGAGAGAAGAAGCCAUCUAGCUAAUAACUAUGGACCCAAAGGUUUGUGGUAAACUACUCACAACUCAUCGGAGAGGCCUUGGAGAUGAUGUAGAGGCCCUCCAUGGUGGAUUCCCCCUCUGGAAGAGCGCCGACGACGGCUCCAAGAUGGGAUCUCGCGGAUACAGAAUGUUACGGUGGUGGAAAUAGUUUUUCCUCAUCUCCCCUGAUGUUUUCGGGGUACAUGGGUAUAUAUAGGAGGAAGAAGUAUGUUGGUGGACGAUCGAGGAGCCCACGAGGGUGGGGGGCACACCCAGCCCUAGGAGGCGCGCCGGGCACCCUCAUGGCCGCCUCGCUUGUUUCUUGACUUGCACUCCAAGUCCUCUGGAUCACGUUUGUUCCAAAAAGAUCUCUCCCGAAGGUUUCAUUCCGUUUGGACUCCGUUUGAUAUUCCUUUUCUUCGAAACACUGAAAUAGGCAAAAAAACAAUCUGGGCUGGGCCUUCGGUUAGUAGGUUAGUCCCGAAAAUGAUAUAAAAGUGUAAAGUAAAGCCCAUAAACAUCCAAAACGGGUAAUAUAAUAGCAUGGAACAAUCAAAAAUUAUAGAUACGUUGGAGACGUAUCAAUCAUCCCCAAGCUUAAUUCCUGCUCGUCCUCGAGUAGGUAAAUGAUAAAAACAGAAUUUUUUAUGUGGAAUGCUACCUAGCAUAUUUCUCAAUGUAUUUUAUUUAUUGUGGCAUGAAUGUUCAGAUCCAAAUGAUUCAAAAUAGAAGUUCAUAUUGACAUAAAAAUAGUAAUACUUCAAGCAUACUAGUAAAGCAAUCAUGUUUUCUCAAAAUAACACGGAUAAAGGAAGUUAUCCCUACAAAAUCAUAUAGUCUGGCUGUUGCUCUAUCUUCAUCACACAAAGUAUAUAAUCAUGCACAACCCCGAUGACAAGCCAAGAAAUUGUUUCAUAGUUUAGUAAUCUCAAACUUUUUCAAUUUUCACGUAAUACAUGAGUGUGAGCCAUGGACACAACACUAUAUGUGGAAUAGAGUGGUGGUUGUGGAGAAGACAAAAAAGGAGAAGAUAGUCUCACAUCAACUAGGCGUAUCAACGGGCUAUGGAGAUGCCCAUUAAUAGAUAUCAAUGUGAGUGAGUAGGGAUUGCCAUGCAACGGAUGCACUAGAACUAUAAAUGUAUGAAAGCUCAACAAAAGAAACUAAGUGGGUGUGCAUCCAACUUGCUUGCUCAUGAAGACCUAGGGCAUUUUGAGGAAGCCCAUCAUUGGAAUAUACAAGCCAAGUUCUAUAAUGAAAAAUUCCCACUAGUAUAUGGAAGUGACUACAUAGGAGACUCUAUAUCAUGAAGAUCAUGGUGCUACUUUGAAGCACAAGUGUGGUAAAAAGGAUAGUUGCAUUGUCCCUUCUCUCUUUUUCUCUCAUUUUUUUUAUUUUUUUGGUGGGCUUCUUUGGCCUCUUUUCUUUUUAUUUGGGCUUCUUUGGCCUCUUUUAUUUUUCAUAAAGUCCGGAGUCUCAUCCCGACUUGUGGGGGAAUCAUAGUCUCCAUCAUCCUUUCCUCACUGGGACAAUGCUCUAAUAAUGAAGAUCAUCACACUUUUAUUUAUUUACAACUCAAGAUUACAACUCGAUACUUAGAAUAAAAUAUGACUCUAUAUGUAUGCCUCCGGCGGUGUACCGGGAUAUGCAAUGAUUCAAGAGUGACAUGUGUGAAACAUUAUGAAGUGGCUUUGCCACAAAUAAGAUGUCAACUACAUGAUCAUGCAAAGAGCAAUAUGACAAUGAUGAUGCGUGUCAUAAUAAAUGGAAUGGUGGAAAGUUGCAUGGCAAUAUAUCUCAGAAUGGCUAUAGAAAUGCCGUAAUAGGUAGGUAUGGUGGCUGUUUUGAGGAAGGUAUAUGGUGGGUGCAUGGUACCGACGAAAGUUGCGCGGCACUAGAGAGGCUAGCAAUGCUGGAAGGGUGAGAGUGCGUAUAAUCCAUGGACUCAACAUUAGUCAUAAAGAACUCAUAUACUUAUUGCAAAAAUCUAUAAGCCAUUGAAAACAAAGUAAUAUGGGCAUGCUCCUAGGGGGAUAGAUUGGUAGGAAAAGACCAUCGCUUGUCCCCGACCGCCACUCAUAAGGAAGACAAUAAAUAAAUAAAAUUGUGCUCCAACUUUAUCACAAAGUGGUUCACCAUACGUGCAUGCUACGGGAAUCACAAACUUCAACACAAGUAUUCUUUAAAUUCACAAUUAACCAACUAGCAUGACUCUAAUAUCACCACCUCUAUAUCUCAAAACAAUUAUCAAGUAUCAAAUUGAUCAUAGCAUCCAAUUCACUUUCUAUGAUAGUUUUUGUUAUACCCAACUUGGAUGCCCAUCAUUCUAGGACCAAUUCUAUAACCAUAGCAAAUACAUGAUGUUCUAAGAAACUCUCAAAAUAAUAUAAGUGAAGCAUGAGAGAUUAGCAGUUUCUACAAAAUUAAGCCACCGCCAAGCUCUAAAAGAUAUAAGUGAAGCACUGGAGGAAAAAUUAUCUAUGUCAAAAGAUAUAAGUGAAGCACAUAGAGUAUUCUAAUAAAUUUCAAAUCAAAUAUUUCUCUCUCAAUAGGUGUGUACAGAAAGGAUGAUUGGGGUAAACUAAAAAUCAAAUACUAAUAUCAUACACGACGCUCAAAGCAAAACACAUACCAUGUGGCGAAUAAAAAUAUAGCUCCAAGUAAAGUUACCGAUAGACGAAGACGAAAGAGGGGAUGCCUUCCGGGGCAUCCCCAUGAUUAGGCUUUUGGUUAUCCUUGAAUAUCUUGGGGUGCCAUGGGCAUCCCCAAGCUUAGGCUUUUGCCACUCCUUAUUCCAUAGUCCAUCAAAUCUUUACCCAAAACUUGAAAACUUCACAACACAAAACUCAACAGGAAAUCUCAUAAGCUCCGUUAGUGCAAGAAAGAAAAACCACCACAUAACUUACUGUAACGAACUCAUUAUUUAUUUAUAUUGGUGUUAAACCUACUGUAUUCCAACUUCUCUAUGGUUCAUACCCCUACAUACUAGCCAUAGAUGCAUCAAAAUAAGCAAACAACACACGAAAAACAGAAUCUGUCAAAAACAGAAUCAUCUCUAGCAAUCUGUAACUUUCGAAUACUUCUCGAACUCCAAAAAAUCCUACCAAAAUAGUAAGUCCUAGGAAAUUUGUCCAUUGAUCUACAGCAAAAAGAAUCAACGCAAAAGCAUGUUUUUGUGAUUUAUUGCUUUUUUUCUCGUGAGCGCAAAGUUUCUGUUUUUCAGCAGAAUCAAAUUAACUCUUACCAUAAGUUAUCCUAUAGGUUCUAGUUGGCACAAACACUAAUUAAAACAAGAAAAAACAUCUAAACAGAAAGUAUAUGAAAAAUUUAUUAAAUAACAGUAAGGAAAAAUAUUGGGUUCUCUCCCAACAAGCGCUUUUCUUUAAAGCCUUUUUAGCUAGGCAUUGAGAUUUCAAUGAUGCUCACAUGAAAGACAAGAAUUGAAGCAUAAAGAGAGCAUCAUAAAACAUGUGACAAACACACUUAAGUCUAACAUACUUCCUAUGCAUAGGUGUUUUAUAAGCAAACAAAUUAUCAAGGCAAGCAAAAAGUAGCAUAUGCAAGGAAGAAGACGACAACAAUCUCAACAUGAAGAGAGGUAAUUUAGUACCAUGAAAAUUUCCGUGACCAUAUUUUCCUCUCUCAUAAUAAUUAUAUGUAGGAUCAUAAGUAAAUUCAACAAAAUAGCUAUCACAUAACAUAUUCUCAACACGAUCCACAUGCAUGCAAAGUUGGCACUCUUCCAAAAUAGUGGGAUUAACAUUAACUAAAGUCAUGACCUCUCCAAACCCACUUUUAUCAAAAAUAUCGUAAGAUUGAACAUACUCCAAAUAUGUGGGAUCUAAAGUUGACACUCUUCCAAACCAACUUUCAAUAUUAUUGCAAACACUAUUAUCAAUCUCAUAUUCAUCAUGGGGCUUAAAUAAAUUUUCAAAAUUAUAAGAAGAAUCACCCCAAUCAUGAUCAUUGCAACAAGUAGUAGACAUAUCAAAACUAGCAUCCCCAAGCUUGGGGUUUUGCAUAUUAUUAGCACAAUUGACAUCAAGAAAAUUCAUAGUAAAAUCAUUGCAAUCAUGCUUUUUACUCAAGGAGUUAUCAUGAAUCUCUUCAGAAAUUUCUUCAUCAUAAUUUUCAGAUUCACAAAUUUCGAGCAAAGCUUCAUAAAGAUAAUCUAGUGCACAAAACUCACUAGCAAUUGGUUCAUCAUAAUUGGAUCUCUUAAAAAGAUUGGCAAGCGGAUGAGGAUCCACAGAUCUUAGGUUCUCCGUUUAGCAAUAAAUAAACAACUAUUCCAACCAAACGAGCAAACGAGCCAAGUAAGACAUCAAAGCAAACAAAAAGACGAACAGAAGAAGGGCGAAUAAAACGGCAAGGGUGAAGUGGGGGAGAUGAAAACGAGAGGAAAAUGUCACAUAAUGUAAUGCGAGGGAGAUGAGUUUGUGAUGGGUACUUGGUAUGUCUUGACUUGAGUGAAGACCUCCCCAGCAACGGCGCCAGAAAUCCUUCCUAGCAACGGCACCAGAAAUCCUUCCCGGCAACGGCGCCAGAAAUCCUUCUUGCUACGUCUUGAGCUUGUGUUGGUUUUCCUUGAAGAAGAAAGGGUGAUGCAGCAAUAGUAGCAUUAGUAUUUCCCUCAGUUUUUUAGAACCAAGGUAUCAACCCAGUAGGAGGCUCCUCACAAGUCCCACGCACCUACACAAACACAAAAGAACUCGCAACCAACGUAAUAAAGGGGUUGUCAAUCCCUUCAUGGCCACUUGCAAAAGUGAGAUCUGAUAGAGAUAAUAUGAUAAGAUAAAUAUAUUUUUGGUAUUUUAUGAUAUAGAUUGGAAAAGUAAAGAUGCAAAUAAAAGUAGAUUGAAAGCUUAUAUGAUAAGAGAUAGACCCGAGGGCCAUAGGUUUCAGUAGUGGCUUCUCUCAAGAUAGCAUAAUUAUUACGGUGGGUGAACAAAUUACUGUUGAGAAAUUGAUAGAAAAGCGCAUAGUUAUGAGAUUAUCUAGGCAUGAUCAUGUAUAUAAGCAUCAUGUCCGUGACAUGUAGACCGACUCCUGCCUGCAUCUACUACUAUUAGUCCACACAUCGACCGCUAUCCAGCAUGCAUCUAGAGUAUUAAGUUCAUGAAGAACAAAGUAACACAUUAAGAAAGAUGACAUGAUGUAGAGGGAUAAACUCAUGCAAUAUGAUAUAAACCCCAUCUUUUUAUCCUCGAUGGCAACAAUACAAUACGUGCCUUGCUGCCCCUGCUGUCACUGGGAAAGGCCACCGCAAGAUUGAAUCCAAAGCUAAGCACUUCUCCCAUGGCAAGAAUGAUCAAUCUAGUAGGCCAAACCAAACUGAUUAUUUGAAGAGACUUGCAAAGAUAACUUAAUCACAUAUAAAAGAAUUCAGAGGAGAUUCAAAUAUUUCUCAUAUAUAAACUUGAUCAUAAACCCACAAUUCAUCGGAUCUCGACAAACACACCGCAGAAAGAGUUACAUCGAAUAGAUCUCCAAGAAGAGGAAGGAGAACUUUGUAUUGAGAAUCAAAGAGAGAGAAUAAGCCAUCUAGCUAAUAACUAUGGACUCGAAGGUCUGUGGUAAACUACUCACAACUCAUCGGAGAGGCCAUGGAGAUGAUGUAGAGGCCCUCCGUGGUGGAUUCCCCCUCCGGUAGAGCGCCGACGACCGCUCCAAGAUGGGAUCUCGCGGAUACAGAAGGUUACGGUGGUGGAAAUAGUUUUUUGUCAUCUCCCCUAAUGUUUUCGGGGUACAUGAGUAUAUAUAGGAGGAAGAAGUACGUCGGUGGACGAUCGAGGGGCCCACGAGGGUGGGGGGCGCGCCCAGCCCUAGGGGGCGCGCCCAGCCCUAGGGGGCGCGCCGGGCACCCUCGUAGCCGCCUCACUUGAUUCUUGACUUGCACUCCAAGUCCUCUGGAUCACGUUUGUUCCAAAAAGAUUGCUCCCGAAGGUUUCAUUCUGUUUGGACUCCGUUUGAUAAUCCUUUUCUUCGAAGCACUGAAAUAGGCAAAAAUACAGCAAUUCGGGCUGGGCCUCCUGUUAGUAGGUUAGUCCCAAAAAUGAUAUAAAAGUGUAAAGUAAAGCCCAUAAACAUCCAAAACGGGUAAUAUAAUAGCAUGGAACAAUAAAAAAUUAUAGAUACGUUGGAGACGUAUCAAGGAGGCAGCAGGGCUCGAUCGGGUUCAGUUUACAGCCAUCGAUCGAUCGCUCGGGUUCAGUAACGCGUAGCUUGCAGUGCAAUCGCUCGGGUUCAGUAGGCGAACGCCUUGCUCGGGUUCAGUUAGAGCCCAACGCCUCGCACCCACGCGCAUGUGUGUACGAGAGAAACGUGCAAACCUCCAUGCAUUGCUCGGCCCAGACCACCCACCGUAACCGGGAACUCCCAAAUAUUUUCCAUGCCCUCGCUUCUACCACGGUUUUUCCGUCAUGGAUGGCCCAAAGAAUGUCAUGCAGCUGCGUCUCCAGGCCGCCCAAGAUGAAAAGCCCAUUUUCUGUCAUGACUUUUUGUCAUAGAAGCAGGAGCCCACCACAUCUAUGAUGAUACCGGGUUUUGUCACAAUUAUCGUCAUAGAAGUGUCAUAAGUAUGACAGGAAAAAAAUUCGAUCGGCCCAAAAUGUCACAGAUGUGUCUUUUUUUGUAGUGUAGGCGAUGUCCUUGCCCUUACAAACUCCUUGGUUCAAUUCCACAAUCUUGACGGAGGCUCCCAAUUGACACCUAACCAAUCUAGGAGACACCACUCUCCAAAAGGUAAUAGAUGGUGUGUUGUUGAUGAACUCCUUGCUCUUGUGCUUCAAAUGAUUGUCUCCCCAACACUCAACUCUCUCUCAUAGAUUUGGCUAUGGUGGAAAGAUGAUUUGGGUGGAAAGCAACUUGGGGAAGGCUAGAGAUCAAGAUUCUUGUGGUUGGAUUGGAAUGUCUUGGUCUCAACACAUGAGUAGGUGGUUCUCUCUCAGAAAAUGAAUGCUGGAAGUGUAGGCACGUUCUGAUGGAUCUCUCCACGAAUGAAGAGUGGGUGGAGGGGUAUAUAUAGCCCCCACACAAAAUCUAACCAUUACACACAGAUUCCCAAACUUGGUGAGACCGAAUAGUGAAACUCGGUCAGACCGAUUUAGGUCAAAAUGUGAACGUUAGGCUUUUCGAUGGGACCAACAUGAUCAACUCGAUGGGACCGAUGUGCUAGGGUUAGGGCAUAACUUGAUCUCGGUGAGACCGAUCACAUGAACUCGGUGGGACCAAUUUUGGUAAUAGGCAAAUAGAUAGUUGGUCAAGCAAACUCGGUGGGACCGGUCACUCAUUUUGGUGAGAUCAAAAAGUUAUGAAAAGGAAACAGGGAGUUUGCAUUGUGAACUCGGUGGGACUGAUUGCUCAUUUCGGUGAGACCGAAACGUUAUGAAGGGAAAUAGAGAGUUUGGAAUCCCAUCACGGUGAUAACGAGAUCCCUAUCAGUGAGACCGAAGUGAUUAGGAUUUGUGGCAGUGGCUAUGUCAAAUGAACUCGGUGGCGCCGGAUAAAUCAAAUCAGUGGGGCCGAGUUUGACUUUAGGUUUAGGACAUAUGUGGAUAUGAGAAAGUGGUUGAGGGUUUUUGGAGCAUCUCACUAAGCAUUUUGAGCAAGUAAGCCUUUAAGAAACACCUCAUCCCCUUUUAAUAGUGUUGGCUUUCCUAUGGACUCAAUGUGAUCUUGGAUCACUUAAAUGAAAAUGUAGUCUUGAGCUUUUUGCCAAUAUGUGUUCUUAGCAUUUUGAGGGGUCCACAUCUCUAGUCCAUCCCAUGCCAAUCAUUGAAAUUUCUGAAAAGAUCAUCUUGAAAGAGUAUUAGUUCAAUGAGCUACCAAAACCACCCAGGGAUUAGUUGCAUUUUCAGAGGUGGAUCAGGGCAUAUGGUAGAUUCAACAUCAAUAGGUUAUUUCCUUCCAUGAAUUAUGGGCGGUGGAAAUGGUAGUUGGUGGAGUAUUCUUUUUGUGGGAUUGGUUAAGAAAUGUAUGGCUCAGAUCUAGCCUGAUCUAUGAUGGGAUGAAAGUAUUAGACGUCUAGUGUAGAGCGUUUCCCUAGGAUUUCCCACCACUACUACACUUCUUGUUUUAAGCGAGACAAAACCUCAAGUCACCUUAAGAGAAGCCUGUAGUGGGCCAACCCGGUAGGGUUUGGUUUCUUUAUUAUUUUUGUGGAAAAAACACAAAACUUUAUUCAUUUGCAAUAACAAGUACAUCGUUUAUGAGGAGGGGUACAAUUUCACUCAACGUCUUCUCAAACCAGUAAAAAGUAGAAGAAAAUCUAGCUAACUUAGCAAGUUCAUGGGCAACCUUAUUUGCUUCCCAAUUACAGUGCUCGAAUCUAGUAAUGAGAAAACCACAAGGAAAAAUAGCAAUCGUCAAACAAUGUCGCCUCCAUACUCUCCUUUUGAUCUCCAUUGUUCAUGGUUUCAAUGACCUUCAAGUUAUCUAAGUUAAUAAGAAGGUAGUUGGAGCCCGCCUUUUGAGGAGUGGAUAGACGAUAUCUAAGCGCCAAAGCUACAGCCGAUGGGACUUCCGUACACCAAUCACUUCUCCAAUUCCCCCCUGCAAUGAAUUUUCCUUUAUCGUCCCUUAAAAUAUCACCAGCCGUGCCCCUAAGCAGGUGAUGAUCAAAAUAGACAUCCACAUUCAGUUUUACAACCCCCCUUUGAGGUUGUGUCCAACCCCUUCUUUUCAUAGUAGCCUUCGGUGAUAUAGCCAUGACAUAGUUUAACGUAAUAGCACAAAUCCCCAUAGAAAUUUGGUUAGAAUCUUGGGUUUACUCCUUAUAGACCAAUUCUGGCCUUUCCCACCACAAAUACCAAGUUGUAAUUUCAAUCAUCUCAUGAAUUUCCGAAUACCCAAGAUAGUCAGCUCAUGUUCAGGUAUAGAAAGUAAAAAAUUCAAGUACAACCUCACCAGCACAAUCAACUUCGCGUGCUAUUUUAAUGACAUGAUCCUGCCCCAACACUCUCCAAACCUCCUCUGCUUUCUCAAAUUGAAAUAACAUAAGCUUCGUAUCUUCUGAUCUAAAGGGGCAAGAAGGACAAUUGGGAGAAACUUUUAUGCGUCUAUUCACCAAAGUAACUUGACACGGGAGAGUUCCAUGCAAAGUGCACCACACAAACAAUUACCUUUACUAGGCUAGAAAACUUUCAAAUCUCAUUCCAAAUAGGAUUAAUAGUUAGACAUCCCAUAUUGUCAGCUCUUCUAAGUUUGCUCACGUGUAGGUGUUCUCAUUCCAUAGCAUAGGCUCAUCGAACAGAAAAUAUUCCAUUUUUUAAUAGCUCCAGGUGACAAAAUCCAACAUGUCAUAUUGAGGAAGAUGAAUUGCAAGGACCCGUUGUGCAUCAACUGGCCACAAUGUUUGUGUAACCAUAUUUUUGUCCCAAUUAUUAGUAAUGGGGUCAUUUAAAUCAAAGACACUUUAGAUCAAAUUAAUCCCUCUAGGGGUGAUUAGUUUUCUAUUUACACAAUUCGGGGUCCAAGCAUCUUCCCAAAUAUCAAUAUUAUGACCAUUUCUAACACGCCAUAUAUAACCAUGAUUUACACAAUUAACCCAGGACUCUGGAUUCUCAAGGAGACGCCAAGCUUGUUUUCUCAACAUUGCCAGGUUGAAUCAAUGAACAUCUAGGAAGCCCAUCCCCACUUGAUUUUUCGUUACACACAUUUUCCACCAAGCCAUACAAUGCAUCCUCUUCUGAUUGUCCUCAUCACCCCACCAAAAAUAUGACAUUGUAUCAGUGAUUCCCUUUCAAUUUUUUUAGGAAUUUUAAAGAUGGACAUCAUAUAGGUGGGGAUUGUUUUGCAAUAGAGUUCAGGAGGAUUUCCUUCCCUCCCACGGAUAAUAGUUUUUUCUUUACAUACACUUCUAUCUUCACGAUAACAUGAUCAAUCAAAUACUAAAAGCAGUCAGACUUAUCCGUACCCACAUUAGCCAUUAGCCCCAAAUAUUGAGAGUGGUGCAAAGUUGCUCUUGAUAUUCACUCUCGUAUUGGGGUUGGAACAUAUGCUUGACUUAUCAACACUCACCAUUUUCCCAGAGGUGGUACAAUAUGAAUCCAAAUGGCUUUCGAAGCCUCGACAUUGUGCCUGUUGGCUUUCAUAAGGAUCAAUCAGUCAUCCACAAAUAGAAGAUUCAUAAUAGAUGGAGCCUCUCUACAUUCCUUCACACCUUUAACUUUUCCACUCUCCUCAGCAUGAGACAAGAGAGCGACCAGACCCUUAGUACAUAAAAUAAAUAUAUAAGUAAAUUGCGGGUCCCCUCGUUGUAAUCCUCUAGAUGGCUUAAAACUCUCAGUUUCUUCUAUAUUAAACCGAACCAGGUAUUCAAUAGUGGAAACAUGUUGCAUAAUAAAUUUGACCCGACUCUCUUGGAAGCCCAAUUUCAACAUAAUUUCCUUUAGGAAAACCCAUCCAUCCCUGUCAUAAGCUUUAUGCAUGUUAAGUUUGAUAGCACACAAUCCUUCAUUUCCUUCUGUCUUAUUUUUAUUUUAUGGAAGCAUUCAUAGGCCACUAAAACAUUAUCAGUAAUCAUACUUUCAGGCACAAAAGCACUAUGAGUCAGGCCGAUAAUUUCUGGAAGAAAACCAUUCAAACGAGCAGACACCAUUUUUUUAAUAUAAUCUUGUACACAACAUUACAAAGGUGGAUUGGUCUGAACUGGGUUACCUUAUCUGGUGAAUUAACCUUUGGGGUCAUCACUAUCAUAGUAUCAUUCCAUCCCGCUGGAAUACUACAAGUAUUCACCGCUUGCAAACUUCUUGAACAAGAUCGUCCCCAAGCAUAGGUCAAAAUUAUUUAUAAAAAAUAGCAUAGAGUCCAUUAGCGCCUAGAACUUUUAACUCUCCAUUAUCAAAAGAGAUUUACGAACAUCAUUAGACGUACAAGGCGCAAUGAGGGCAUUAUUAAUCUCAUCUGACACUCUUCUCCUAAAAAGAGAUAAAACUUCCAUAUUUAGUUGCAACACCUUAGAGGUAAACAUGUUUGAGAAAUAGCCCUUGAUAUGAUCCUUUAGCUUUGUUCCUUGCCGCCAAACACUAGUAUCAUCAAGAUGUUUUUUAAUGUUAUCACUUUUCUUACUCUUCGUUGCGGCUUUAUGAAAAAAGAUGUAGUAUGGUCCCAUGCAUCAACCAAUAUGCUCUUCCUAUUUGUAACCAAUAAACCUCCUCUUGAUCUAACAAAUUCUCAAUCAGAACAGGAACUUCCUUUUGGCAGGAGCGAUACUCCGCAUUCAUAGGUCCAUGCCUGAAUUUAUCUCAUUCCCAUUUUAAUUUGUUAAUUCUUUGUUUUGGUCCCUUUAGAAUCUCACAGUCCCAUGUGCGUAGGUCAUCCUGCACCACUCAUGUAUGUGCAACAAGGGAAGGACCAACGCCUGCUAAUUUAGCCUUUUCCCAUGCCACGCGCACAAUUUCCCCAAUAGUCUCUUCUUUGAGCCAUCUCACUUCAAAUUUCUUCACACGACCUUUUGGCCAAUUAAAAAUAUUCCUAUCAAGAUAUUUCGUGUCAAGGUUCAAGAGACUGUGGUCUGAAUGUAUAUGUUCCUCAUUGGUAAUGGUCGGUUCGGGGAAUUUAUUUGACCAAUCCACAUUACGUAGAACUAUCAACUAGUUCCAUAAUACCCCUCUCCUCAAGGUGAAAAUGUCACCAAUAUAUCCCAAAUCUUGUAAGCCACAGUCUCCCAGGCAAUUAUAGUACUCUUGCCUCAUUGCAUUUGGUUUUAGAUUACCUUCAUCCUCUUCAAGAGAGUACAUAAUUUCAUUGAAAUAUCCAAUAAUGACCCAAGUGUAAGAAGCACGAGCAUGUAAAUUGUGGAGGUUUGUCCAAGAUAAGUGUCUUUCAUUUCAAGCCAGAUGACCAUAAAACCACGUAAAUCGCCAAUCCACAUUAUUGUCAUUCAUAAACAUCACAUCGGUAAAAUAUGGAGAUACAUGAUGCAACUGAACUUUAUUCUCUUUUUGAUGAUAUAAUACAAGUCCACCAGCCUUACCAUCACUCUUAGAUAAAAACAUUGAACUAAACCCUAACUUACACAACGUAGCUUGCCAGCCUUUAUUUUAUUUAAAUGCAACUCAGAUAAAAAAACUAACUCUAGGCACACCCAUCCUUGGAGCUCCAGGAGAUCAUGAACUGUUGUGAGGGAGAGCAAACCACGGUAGUUCCAGCCUAGGAUUUUCAUUUUCCUAGCAAACCUCCUCCUUGGAGGCUGCCAAUGCGCCAUUAUCUCCCUUUCUUCUCCAAUCGACUCCCCUCCCUUAUACACAUAAUCCCCGCCCCUCUCCUCCAUCUCCUUCGCUUCAUGUGUGAUAGCACCAUCAACAUCCUUCACUUCUUCCACUCUACUCGCACAUACUCUCUUAUAAGAAAUGUUGACAUCCCCUAUAGCAUGCGCUCAUAACUAUCCAUAGUUUUCUCAAAAUAAAAUUUUAUGUCCCUUCCCGUGGGCGAAUGUCGGAUAGGUGUCUCCUUUUUUUACCUAACAUUUUCUUGAGAGCAUCCUUCGAUCUAUCCAUCAUUCCUUCCUUCUAUAUUUCCUUCCCUUCCUCUUUGGAUAGUCCCGCAUAUGAUUCUUGGUGGCACUGAAUUUAAAUAACACAUUAUUGACAACAAUGUCAUUCGUGGCAACAUAAGCCAUAAGCCUUGCAGCAACAUCCCGCGAUAAGGCCUCCAACACACCAGGCUGGAAAAGGAGUUGGUCGUGGAUGUGCAUUGCGGAUCCCCUGCUGCUGCCACAAGUGUAGGGCUUGGCUCACUGAUAACCCACAAGUAUAGGGGAUCGCAAUAGUUUUUGAGGGUAGAGUAUUCAACCCAAAUUUAUAGAUUCGACACAAGGGGAGCCAAAGAAUAUUUGAAGGUAUUAGUAGCCGAGUUGUCAAUUCAACCACACAUGGAGAUUAAUUAUCUGCAGCAAAGUGAUUAGUAGCACAGUAGUUUGUUAGUUUUGAUUAUAGUAGCAGCAGCAAAGUAACGGUAACAGUGAUAGCAGUGUUGUUGUAGCAGUAAUGAUAGCAGUAGCAACUGUAGUAACUUAGCAAGAACAAUAUAAGAUAAAUUCGUAGGUAGGAUCGAUGACUCGUUGGAUGCUAUUCAUGAUGAGACAGUUAUAACAUAGGGCGAUACGACACUAGCUCCAGUUCAUAAAUAUAAUGUAGGCAUGUAUUCCAUAAAUAGUCAUACGUGCUUAUGGAAAAAACUUGCAUGACAUCUUUUGUCCUACCCUCCCAUGGCAGCGGGGUCCUAUUGGAUACUAAGGGAUAUUAAGGCCUCCUUUUAAUAGAGAACUGGAAUAAAUCAUUAACACAAGGUGAAUACAUGAAAUCCUCAAACUACGGUCAUCACUGGGAGUGGUCCCGACCAUUGUCACUCUGGGGUUGCCGGAUCACAACACCUAGUAGGUGACUAUAACUUGCAAGAUUGGAUCUAGAACAUGGAUAUAAUGGUGAUAACAUAAAUGGUUCAGAUCUGAAAUCAUGGCACCCGGGCCAAAAGUGACAAGCAUUAAGCAUGGGAAAUUCAUAGCAACAUCAAUCUCAGAACACAGUGGAUACUAGCGAUCAAGCCCUAACAAAACUAACUCGAUUACAUGAUGGAUCUCAUCCAAGUCCUCACCGACCAGCGAGCCUACGAAGGAAUUACUCACUUCCGGUGGGGAGAAUCAUGGAAUUGGCAAUGGAGAUGUGUUGGUGAUGACGAAGAUCGAAGAUCCCCCUCUCCAGAGCCCCAAACAGACUCCAGAUCUGCCCUCUCGAGGAAGAACAUGGCUUGGCGGCAGCUCUGUCUCAUGAAACGCGAUAAUUCUUUCUCCCUAAUUUUUUUCUGGAAAUAUGGGAUUUUAUAGCGUCAGUUUGGAGGUCAGCGGGGCCACCAGGUGGGCAGCACCCGCCUGGGCGUGCCUUGGCGGGCUGGCGCACCCUGGUGGGUUGUGCUCACCCAGGUGCCCCCCUCAGGCCCAUCCUGGCUCCAGAAAUUCUCUUUUGUCGUAUAAAAAAUCCUCGCAAAGUUUCGUUCCAUUCCGAGAACUUUUAUUUCUGCACAAAAACAACACCAUGAGUUCUGCUGAAAACAGCAUCAGUCCGGGGUUAGUUUCAUUCAAAUCAUGCAAAUUGUAGUCCAAAACAAGAGGAAAAGUGUUAGGAAAAGUCGAUAUGUUGGAGACAUAUCAACUCCCCCAAGCUUAAACCUUUGCUUGUCCUCAAGCAAUUCAGUUGAUAAACUGAAAGUGAAAAAGAAAAACUUUUAUGAACUCUUUUGCUCUUGUUUCAUAAAUAAGCUUAAACAACACCCAGGUUCUCAGCAAAUAUUAUAACUAACCAUGUCAUCAAUAACUCUUCAAGAUUAUAUUAACUUAUAUCAAUGACAUAAACAACUAGAGAGCAAUAAUAAGAUAUCUCAAAUAGCAACACAUUGUCAAAACAACCAUGAUAUAAUACGACAAUAGUGGUAUCUCGCUAGCCCUUUCUGAGACCGCAAAACAUAAACGCACAGCACCCCCAAUGUUCAGGCAGCGACUAAACAUUGUAAUUCAUGGUAGAAAAGAUCCAGUCAUGAUGCACCCAACAUUAGCUAUAGACAAUGCAUCAACAUGCAUGAUAGCCGUGCUCUCAGGUUCUGGCGCUUAUUUGAGAAGGUGAUGACACAACAUAAAAGUAAAUGGAUAGUCCAUUCGCAAAGGAAAGCAGUGAUUUGUAGAGGUGCCAGAGCUCAUGUUUUUAAAACUAACGUAAAUGAUAUUUUGAGACAUGCACCCUUCUUAUUCACUUCACGACCAUCAGUUAUCAAUAUCUUCCAUGCUAAGCACGUUAGUGGCGGUUCCCAAGCGGAAAUGUAAAGGUUAUGACUCCAUUGGGAGUUUUUGUUUGAUUAUUUAUAAGCUCUUUUCUUUUUGCAGUUUGGGACUGGGCAUCCCUAUUACCGCCCUUUUUCUCGUGCGAUGGCGAGUGAACAAACACUCGACCUAAGAAUAACCUGCUUAGCAUGGAAGAUACCGAAUACCUCCUGUCGUUCCACGAACGAUCCAGACACACAAAAGGAUAUUUAUUUUAUGUUUUUAGAGGUGGCACAUGCAAAUUUACAUAGGACGGCAGGGUAAUACCGCAUAUAGGUAGGUAUGGUGGACUCAUCUGGAAUAACUUGGGUUUCAGGUUUUUGGAUGUACAAGCAGAGUUCCCACUUAGUACAGGCGAAGGCUAGCAAAUAGGUUGAGAAGCGGCUAGCUAGAGAGCAACAAUGGUCAUGAACAUGCAUUAUGCAUAACUAACAUUGGACACUAGCAUGAGUAGGAUACGAACACCAUGAACAUAAAUAUCAUAGAGGCUAUGUUGGUUUUGAUUCAACUACAUGCAUGAACAUGUGCCAAGUCAAGCCACUCGAACAUUCAGAGGAGGAUACCAUAUCAUCAUACUACAUCACAAUCAUUUUAACGCAAUGUUGAUAUCCAAGAUAAGUUAUUGUUCACUCCUAGCUACUUAUUCAUGGCAUGAGAAACUAUAAUCUCUAAUUGUCAUUGCAAACAUGUUUGAUCAUAAUAGGUUGAAGCAUGGACACUAGGUUAAACAUAUUUACAAAAAGAAAACAAGUCGAAUUCAUACCCAUUUAUCUAUGCCACGGAAGUUCAUCUAAUAUCGUCAUUAUUGCCUUUCACUUGCACGACCGAAUGAUUUGAAAUAAUAAUAGUGCAAGAGUGCUGUGGACAAAGCUAGAAUCUGCAAAAAAUUAUUCAAGAGGAGAAGACAAGGUAAUAUGGUCUCUUUGUUAGAUCAAUAAUAAUGCAAAUGAGAGCCACUCAAUAUUUUCAUUGUGGUCUUCUCCUCGGUAAGACUCGAUAAAAAAAGGAAAUUCAGAGAAACACACUGAAAUAUUUUUGGAGUUUUUGGUUUUUCGAAAGCAAGCAAACGAGAAAGGGAAAAGCAAAAACGAGAAAAACUAUUUACACGGGGAAGCUCCCAACAAGUAAAACAAGAACAAGCAAAUCUUUUUGGGUUUUCUUUUAGUGCUACAACAAUUUAAACUAAGAAGAAAAAUAAAAAAGAAGCAAGAAACAUAUUUUUGGAUUUUCUCAAAGUUUUUCAAACACACCAGAAGAAGGCAGGAAAAUAAAUUAAACAUGGAUGAUACAAUGAAAAACUGUGGACACCGACAACUGGAAUGAAAUGUGUGAACAUGAAUGUAAUGUCGGUGGAAACACGUACGCCCCCAAGCUUACGCUUUUUGGUCUAGCUCGGUGAUCACCAGUGGUAGAAGCCGUGAGGUCCAAUGUUGAAGUGCUGGGGAGCAGGCACCAUAGGGUCCCACUACUGGGGCUCCGCCUGUGCCACCGCCAGGUUGUUUCGGUAGGCGACAAUGUCCUCAGGCAUAACUCUGUAUUUGUUCCUAGCAACAUAAUCAAACAAAGCAGGUGCACGCAAGAGGAUAACAUCACGAGUGUUUUCACUAAAAACUGAAUUGUAAGGCAAGUUAAGAUUAGGGUGAUCAACAUCAAGAAAAUGAUGGUACAACAUAGGUGCUUUGUCAAUGUAAACCUUGGGUAAGGGGUGAUCAUGUUGGCAUAUCCGCACAUUGAAGUGAGUAGCCAAACGAGUAGCGUAAAUGCCCCCCAUGUAUUUUACCCUUGAAUCUGUUAAGGUGAAGGCGAUGUGCCACAAUAGCUCCCAAGCUAAAAGUGUUGUCGCCGUAAAGUGCACGACGUAAAACAGCAAAGUCUGGGGCGCUAAGUGAACCUACCUUCUCUCUCGCUAGCAGGCACUUCAUGAUAAAUAAAGCAAAAUAAUGCACGGCAGGAAACUGCACACUAGCGGCAGUGGUUGUUGAUACUCCUCUCCCAUCCCCCAUAGUUAGAGUAUGGUAAAAUGAUCAAACUCUGAAGGCCUGGGCUCUACCAAACCCCCAUCAGUAGGAAGCAUGCAUAUGUUACAAAAGUCGGUAAGUGGAAUUCGGUGGGGUUCAGCAUAUAAGUUAAAUGACACCUGAGAAGGAUUAUCCCUAGAAUGAAACUGAAAGUUUUGCACAAAGGAAUUUGUGAGGAGUUGAUAUUGUUCGCAUUCAGCUGCGAUGAAGUUGGUGAAGCCGACAUUAGCAGAAUAUUGGUUGAACUCUUGGAGGAUUCCGGCCUCUUCCAAGAAAUCAUUGUCUGGCCACUCACACGACCGUAGUUCCGCCAACCUCGGGGUAUGAAGACCAUUGUCAGAAGAUUUCCCAAUAACCCCCUUGGAGUUCUUCUUGGAAGCAAACUUCCUGAAGAUAUUCACCUUUUUCCUAUGAACAAAAUUCUAAAAAAAUUAGUCCAUCAAAUUUUUCACAACAAAACUUCACAAGAUUGAUAGCAACUGCUCAUAGGGAUGUAUAGAGGCCAUAGCAAGCAUUCAAACUACUUAGAACUCUAAGAAUUCAACAUGCAAGCUCAUCUACAGCAACACCAAGAGUAGCUAAUUAUUCUAAAUAUAAACCACAAAAACAAAAACUAAUUGGACACAUGGAGGAGUCACAUACCAAGCAACAAAUCCCUAAAACAGUUUCAAAAACGGAGCUUCGAGCAAAGAGAUCGAAAUUCGCGGUCUCAGGAGCAAGAACAUGAGAGAGUGUGUGUUGGUGAUUUUUUUGGGUGAAUGGAGUGGUGUGGGAGGAAGAAGUAAGUGAGGGGGCCCAUCAGGAGGGAAGCACCCACCAGGGUGCGCCUGGGGGUGUUGCGCACCCAGAUGGGUUGUGCCCACCUGGUGCACCUCCUUCAGGUAUUAUUUGCACCAGAAAUUCAUAACUAUUCAGAAAAAAAUCAUAUCAGCUUUUUAGAGCAUUCUGAGAACUCUUAUUUUUGGGUCAUUUUUUAUUGCAUGGAAAAAGCGGAAAAUAGAUAAUGCAUGGCAUUUUAUUUUAUUUGACUAAUAAAAACAAAAAACAAAAGGUAGUGACAGAAGGUAGUGCUUACUAAAUUCAUCAACUUCAUACCUCUCAAAAAUGAUCCAUUAAUAAGGUUGAUCAAGCCUUAUUAACAACCACUUUCGAUUAGCAUGAAACUGAAGAACUUCCGUAAAUCGCUAAGUUACCUCAAUGGGGAUACGAAUGUCCACAAUAAUAAGUAUUUCAUAUUCCUUUUUGACAGUAGGUAGAGGUAGUUGAAAACUUCCAAUAGUGAUUGUCGGAGAUUUUUCAAUAACAUUGAUACCAUUCACUUGGAAUUAUUUCUUCAGAAAGUGCACUGUAUGCUCAUUACCAUUGAUAUGAAAAGUGAUAUUGCUUUUAUUGCAAUCAAUAACAGCCCCUGCAGUAUUAAAGAAGGGUCUACCAAGGAUAAUUGACAUGUUUUCAUCCUUGGUCAUCUCAAGUAUAACAAAGUCAGUUAAAAUAGUAACAUUAGCAACAACAACGGGCACAUCCUCACAAAUAUCGAUAGGUAUGGCAGUUGAUUUAUCAGCCAUUUGCAAUAAUAUUUCAGUAGGUGUGAGUUUAUUCAAAUCAAGUCUUUUAUAUAAAGAGAAAGGCAUAACACUAACACCAUCUCCCAAAUCACAUAAAGCAGUUUUAACAUAGUUUCUUUUGAUGGAGCAAGGUAUAGUUGGUAUUCCUGAAUCCCCAAGUUUUUUAGGUACUCCAUCUUUGAAAGUGUAAUUAGCAAGCAUAGUGGAGAUUUCAACUUCCAGUAUUUUUCUCUUAUUAGUGAUGAUGUCUUUCAUGUACCUUGCAUAAGGAGUCAUAUUCAAGAUAUCAGUCAAGCGAGUGCGCAAAAAGACUGGCCUAAUCAUUUCAGCAAAGAGUUCAAAUUCUUCAUCAUCUUUCUUUUUAGUUGACUUAGGUGGAAAUGGCAUAGACUUUUGAACCCAUGGUUCUCUUUACUUUCCAUGUUUUCUAGCAACAAAGUCUCUUUUAUCAUAUCAUUUAUUCUUAGGUUGUGGGUUAUCAAGAUCAACAGCUGGUUCUAUCUCAACAUCAUUAUCUGGUUCUUUAUAAUUAGGUUGAGUGCUUUCGUGAACCUCAUCAUUAUCUUUUUCAUUGUCAGAAGGUGAGUGUUCAUUACCAUAUUGAGUUUCAGCAUCAGAGAUAGAAACUUCAUUAUCAUUAUCAGGAGGAUUUUCUAUUUCAGGUUCACUAGAGGGAGGCAAAGUCUUAUCAUUUUUGUUCUUCUUUUUAUUUUUAGAAGAACUAGGUGUAGUAGUGUUGUUCCUUUGUGAAUCUUGUUCAAUUCUCUUUCGAUGACCCUCAAGAUAAAGUGGUUCCCGAGUCAUUUUAUCUCCACUAGUUGCUACUCUUACAGCAAAGUCAGUUAUAUUAUUGUUCAUUUCAUCAAGUAACUCUCUUUGAGUUUUAGCAACUUGUUCUAAUUGUGUUUUAACCAUAGAGGCAUGUUUUCCUACACCUCUAACAUCAUUUGAGAUUCUAAAUAACAAGUCACUUAAGCGAGCAAUCAUAUCAGAGUUGUAUUUCAAUUGUUUCAUAACAUUUGCAUUAAAGUGAUCUUGCUUUCUAAUGUAAUUAUCAAACUCACAAAGGCAUUGACUAGGAUGUUUAUUAUGAGGAUCAUCACUAUCAUUGAAUUUCAUUAACGAUUUUACCUCUACCACCUUGGGUGAUGGUGGUGCUUCAAGCCCAUGUAUUUCUUCGAUAGGUGGUAAAUUUUUAACAUCCUCGGCCUUAAUGCCUUUUUCCUUCAUAGAUUUCUUUGCCUCUUGCAUAUCUUCAGGACUGAGAUAUCAGAUACCCCUCUUCUUUGGAGUGGGUUUAAUAGGUGCUUCAGGAGGAGUCCAAUCAUCAUAAUUUUUCAAUAUGUUAUUCAAUAAUUCCUCAGCUUGCUCAAUAGUUUGUUCCCUGAAAACACAACCAGCACAACUAUCUAGGAAGUCCCUAGAAGCAUCGGUUAGUCCAUUAUAGAAGAUAUCAAGCAUUUCAUUUUUCUUAAGAGGAUGAUCAGGCAAAGCAUUAAGCAAUUGGAUAAGCCUCCCCCAAGCUUGUGGGAGACUCUCUUCUUCGGUUUGCACAAAGUUAAAUAUUUCCUGAAAGGUAGCUUGUUUCUUAUGAGCAGGGAAAUAUUUUUCAGAGAAGUAAUAGAUCAUAUCAUGGGGACUACACACACAACCAGCAGCAAGAGUAUUGUACCAAGCUUUAGCAUCACCCUUUAAUGAGAACGGAAAUAGCUUGAGAAUAUAGUAAUAAUGAAUCUUCUCAUCAUGAGCAAAAAGGGUAGCUAUAUCAUUCAACUUAGUAAGAUGUGGCACAACAGUUUCAGUUUCAUAACCAUGGAAAGGAUCAGGUUCACCCAAAGUCAUUAACACUGGGUCAACAGAGAAUUCAUAAUCCUUAUCAGUAAUAACAAUAGGUGAAGUAGCAAACUCAGGAUCACAUUUCAUUUUAGCAUUCAGAGAUCUUUCUUUAUACUUGCAUAAUAAUUUCUCUAGAUCAUCUCUAUCCUUGAAAGCAAGAAUAUCUCUAGUUGCCUCCUCACUCAUAGUGUAACCUUCCGGUACCUUUGGAAAUUCAUAUCUAGGAGGACUAGUUCUAGGAGGUGUUUCAGUAGUUUCAGUUUCAAGUUCAUCAUCAGAUUCAACAACAUCAUGUUGUCUUACUCUAGCAAUUUGUUCAUCAAGAAAUUCACCUAGUGGCACAUCAUCAAGCAAGGUACUAGCAUCAUCACGAGUAGCAUUCAUAGCAGAAGGAGCAUCAUCAAUAACUUGUGACAUAACAAAAUUAAUAGCAUGUUGUGGAGUUGCAAGUUUACUUAUAACAGACGGUGAAUCUAAAGCAAAACUGGAUGGAAGUUCCUUACCUCCCCUUGUCUUCGAGGAAAAAAUCGUAGUCUUAGCAUCCUUCACAUUCUUCAUAGUGAUAAUAUGAUAAUAAUCCCAAGUGACUCCAAUGAAUAUAGCUGUGCUCCCUGGCAACGGCGCCAGAAAAAGGUCUUGAUAACCCACAAGUAUAGGGGAUCACAACAAUUUUCGAGGGUAGAGUAUACAGCCCAAAUUUAUAGAUUCGACACAUGAGGAGCCAAAGAAUAGUUGAAGGUAUUAGCAGCUGAGUUGUCAAUUCAACCACACCCGAAGAUUAAUUAUCUGCAGCAAAGUGAUUAGUAGCACAGUAGUAUGAUAGUUUUGAUGAUAGUAGCAACAACAACAGUACGGUAACAGUGAUAGCAGUGAUGUUGUAGCAGUAAUGAUAGCAGUAGCAAUAGUAGUAACUUAGCAAGAACAAUAUAAGAUAAAUUUGUAGGCAUUGGAUCGGUGACUCGUUGGAUGAUAUUCAUCAUGAGACAGUUAUAACCUAGGGCGAUAUGACACUAGCUCCAAUUCAUAAAUAUAAUGUAGGCAUGUAUUCCAUAAAUAGUCAUACAUGCUUAUGGAAAAAACUUUCAUGACAUCUUUUGUCCUACCCUCCCGUGGCAGCAGGGUCCUAUUGGAGACUAAGGGAUAUUAAUGCCUCCUUUUAAUAGAGAAUCGAAACAAAGCAUUAACACAUGGUGAAUACAUGAACUCCUCAAACUACGUUCAUCACUGGGAGUGGUCCCAACUAUUGUCACUCUGGGUUGCAGGAUCAUAACACGUAGUAGGUGACUAAAACUUGCAAGAUAGGAUCUAGAACAUGGAUAUAAUGGUGAUAACAUAAACAGUUCAGAUCUGAAAUCAUGGCACCCGGGCCCAAAGUGACAAGAAUUAAGCUUGGCAAAGUCACAGCAACAUCAAUCUCAGAACAUAGUGGAUACUAGGGAUCAAGCCCUAACAAAACUAACUCGAUUACAUGAUGAACCUCAUCCAACUCCUCACUGACCAGCGAGCCUACGAAGGAAUUGCUCACUCCUGGUGGGGAGCAUCAUGGAAUUGGCGAUGGAGAUGUGUUUGUGAUGACUAAGAUCGAAGAUCCCCCUCUCCGGAGCCCCNNNNNNNNNNNNNNNNNNNNNNNNNNNNNNNNNNNNNNNNNNNNNNNNNNNNNNNNNNNNNNNNNNNNNNNNNNNNNNNNNNNNNNNNNNNNNNNNNNNNNNNNNNNNNNNNNNNNNNNNNNNNNNNNNNNNNNNNNNNNNNNNNNNNNNNNNNNNNNNNNNNNNNNNNNNNNNNNNNNNNNNNNNNNNNNNNNNNNNNNNNNNNNNNNNNNNNNNNNNNNNNNNNNNNNNNNNNNNNNNNNNNNNNNNNNNNNNNNNNNNNNNNNNNNNNNNNCUUGGUGGCGGCUCCGUCUCGUGAAACGCGAUAAUUCUUUCUCUUUGAUUUUUUCUGGAAAUAUGGGAUUUUAUAGCACCAAUUUGGAGGUCAGCGGGGCCACCAGGUGGGCAGCACCCACCUGGGCGUGCCUGGGGGGCUGGCAUGCCCUGGUGGGUUGUGCCCACCCAGGUGCCCUUCUCAGGCCCAUCCUGGCUCCAGAGAUUCUCUUUUAUUGUAUAAAAAUCCUCGCAAAGUUUCAUUCCAUUCCGAGAACUUUUAUUUAUGCACAAGAACAACACCAUGGCUGUUCUGCUGAAAAUAGUGUAAGUCCGGGGUUAGUUUCAUUCAAAUCGUGCAAAUUAGAGUCCAAAACAAGAGGAAAAGCGUUAGGAAAAGUAGAUACGUUGGAUAUGUAUCACUCACCCGGUUGUAUGCUCCCCUGGCCCUCCUCACCAGCAGGGUACUACUGAUGUAAAACAACGACAACAACAACAACAGUUUUGGAGCAACUGGGGGGCCCUAGGUUCUGUCGAAUAGGGCCUCCCUAGCCAUGCCAGUGUACAACAACAACAUCAACAGUUUUGGAGCCAUUGGGGGCACCUAGAUGCUGCCAAAAAGGGCCCCCUUGGCCAUGCCGGUGUACAACAGCAACAACAACAGUUUUGGAGCCACUAGGGGCACCCAGCUGCUACCGAGCAGGGCCCUCCUGGCCAUGCAACUCAUCCAACUGGGUUUACAACUAAACCACCGGUACUUGGCUUUCUUUGUUUUGUUCAUUGUUCCUCGUACAUCAAAAUGCAUGUCCAUGUUGGUUGCACAAUUGGGUCCAAGCCCACUACAAUUUGGCUUUAUGUGGUAUUCACAAAUGGCUUCCAAAAGUAUUUUUACAAAGGAAGAAGAGCUUAGUAGUGAAGAUCCAGAGUAUCUUCGCCGCACCUUCACCAAGGCAAGCCACACUACCAUUGCUUGCUAACUUGUUGAAGUCAUAGUUCAUAUGUGCAUUUUAAAACAUAUUUGAAUUUGUUUCAUUAAAUUAUUAUGGUUAUAUUUUGCUAUUAUGCAUUCAUAUGUUUCUGUCCUUCCAUGAUGAAUACCUUGCUUAGACAGUUGCAUUGAUGCAUGAUCAUAUGAUUCAUGUUAAUAAAAAUGUACCACAUAAGUAUUUGAGUAAUAACAUGAAUAUUAUUACUUUAAGAUAGUUGUGUAGCUUUACUCAUUUGAGUGUGACUUGAUUAAGCAUAUGUUUUGUAAAGAACUUAUUAACCCAACACUUCAUUAUCUUGGUCCAGUCAUGGUGCCAUUGAGUCGAACUUUCCACAUGCAACCACAUUUGCCUGAUUUGGGAAGGCCUUAACUUAGUACAUGCACAUGCUCCAAUUGGUGUCAUAAUAGUUGGAAGAAUUAGAAGGGUGUGCAAUGAUACAUCUCCAACGUAUCUAUAAUUUAUGAAGUAUUCAUGCCAUGUUUAUAAUAUUUUUACAUGAUUUUGGUAUGAUUUGAUUAGAACUAACCUGGACUGACAUUGUUUUCAGGAGAACUACCAUGGUGUUGUUUUUCUGCAGAAAUAAAAGUUCUUAGAAUGCGCUGAAAAUCAACAGAGAAUAUUUUUGGAAAAUAUUAAAAAUACUGGAAAGAAGAGCUACCGGAGGGGAGUCUCGAGGCCACCAUGAGGGUGGAGGGUGCGCCCCCUACCUCGUGGACUCCCCGUGGGGCCCCCUGAUGUGAAACCAACCGCCAACCCCUCCUAUAAAUCCUAAAAACCCCAGCAUAGAAGGGAGAUCGGAAGUUCCGCCACCGCAAGCCCCUAGAACCACGAGAAAUCAAUCUAGGCCCUCUCCGGCACCCUGCCGGAGGGGGGCAUCAUCACCAGAGGCCAUGGGAGAGGAUCUCGAAGGGGCCAUCAUCGCCAUGAAGGCUAAGGACUAGGGGGAGAACCUCUCCCCAUCCAGGGGGAGGCCAUGGAGGAGGAAGCACAAGGGGGAGAACCUCUCCUCCUCUCUCUCGGUGGCGCCGGAGUGCCAUCAGGAGGGGAAUCAUCGCCGCGGUGAUCGUCUUCAUCAACGUCAACAUCAUCAUCACCAUCCUCAUCUUUUUUACGCGGUCCACUCUCCCGCACCCCGUUGUAAUCCCUACUUGAACAUGGUGCUUUAUGCCACAUAUUAUGAUCCAAUGAUGUGUUGCCAUCCUAUGAUGUUUUCAGUAGAUUUAUUUUUUCCUUUGGGUUGAUUGAGGAUCGUGAUUGGUUCAAGUUGCAUGUUUUAUUAUUGGUGCUGUCCUACGGUGCCCUCCGUGUCGCGCAAGCGUGAGGGAUCCCCAUUAUAGGGUUUGCAAUAUGUUCAUGGUUUGCUUAUUGUCCGUGUUGCGUGAGUGACUAAAACACAAACACGGAUAACUGGGUCAUGCCAUAUGUGAAUAAAGAGGACUUGAUACUUUAAUGCUAUGCUUGGGUUUUACGUUAAUGAUCUUUAGUAGUUAUAGCUUAUGCCUCUCCCUCAUAUGAAAUUGCAAUAGUGAUUACCGAUCUUGUUAACAAUUGCCUAGAACAAUUCCGCACACCGACCCAUCAUUAUUCCACACACGCUAUUUAUAAUACUUAAUUAAUAUAUUCUAACUUUAUGAUAACAUCCCCUACUUAUAUAUUUUAGCUCUCCGAUAUCAUGCAAAUUUACCCUCUUCAUACCCACAACAUAGUUUUAUUUCUCGUUUCUAGUUGGAAGCAAACGUUCGGUGUAUGUAGAGUCGUAUCAGUGGCAGAUAGGACUUGAGAGAACAUUGAUCUUACCUUUAUCUCCUUGUAGGUUCGACACUCCAUACUUAUCACUUCCACCUUUGGAAAUUGCUACAAUGAUUCCUUGCACUUGGGGAUUAUCAAGCUCUUUUUUGGCGUCGUUGCCGGGGAGCAAUAGUGUGGGGUUGAUAUUCGUGUGUAUGUGAUGUCUACUACGUAAUCUUCUUCUUGUAGACAUUGUUGGGCCUCCAAGUGCAGAGGUUUGUAGGACAGUAGCAAAUUUCCCUCAAGUGGAUGACCUAAGGUUUAUCAAUCCAUGGGAGGCAUAGGAUGAAGAUGGUGUCUCUCAAACAACCCUGCAACCAAAUAACAAAGAGUCUCUUGUGUCCCCAACACACCCAAUACAAUGGUAAAUUGUAUAGGUGCACUAGUUCGGCGAAGAGAUGGUGAUACAAGUGCAAUAUGGAUGAUAUAUAUGAGUAUUUGUAAUCUGAAAAAUAUAAAAACAGCAAGGUAACUAAUGAUAAAAGUGAGUGUAAACGGAAUUGCAAUCCUAGGAAACAAGGCCUAGGGUUCAUACUUUCACUAGUGCAAGUUCUCUCAAUAAUAAUAACAUAACUGGAUCAUAUAACUAUCCCUCAACAUGCAACAAAGAGUCACUCCAAAGUCACUAAUAGCAGAGAACAAAUGAAGAGAGUAUUGUAGGGUACAAAACCACCUCAAAGUUAUCCUUUUUGAUCGAUCUAUUCAAGAGUCCGUAGUAAAAUAACACGAAGCUAUUCUCUCCGUUCGAUCUAUCAUAGAGUCCGUACUAGAAUAACACCUUAAGACACAAAUCAACCAAAACCCUAAUGUCACCUAGAUACUCCAAUGUCACCUCAACUAUAUGUGGGCAUGAUUAUAUGAUAUGCAUCACACAAUCUCAGAUUCAUCUAUUCAAACCAACACAAAGUACUUCAAAGAGUAACCCAAAGUUUCUACCGAAGAGUCAAGAUGAAACCGUGUGCCAACCCCUAUGCAUAAGUUCAAAAGGUCACUGAACCUGCAAGUUGAUCACCAAGACGUACAUCAAGUAGAUCAAGUGAAUAUCCCAUUGUCACCACAGAGAAGCACAUGCAAGACAUACAUCAAGUGUUCUCAAAUCCUUAAAGGCUCAAUCAGAUAAGAUAACUUCAAAGGGAAAACUCAAUCCAUUACAAGAGAGUAGAGGGGGAGAAACUGUUGGAAAUAUGCCCUAGAGGCAAUAAUAAAUUAGUUAUUAUUAUAUUUCCUUGUUCAUGAUAAUCGUUUAUUAUCCAUGCUAUAAUUGUAUUGAUAGGAAACUCAGAUACAUGUGUGGAUACAUAGACAAAACCAUCUCCCUAGUAAGCCUGUAGUUGACUAGCUCGUUGAUCAAUAGAUGGUUACGGUUUCCUAACCAUGGACAUUGGAUGUCGUUGAUAACGGGAUCACAUCAUUAGGAGAAUGAUGUGAUGGACAAGACCCAAUCCUAAGCCUAGCACAAAGAUUGUGUAGUUCGUAUGCUAAAGCUUUUCUAAUGUCAAGUAUCAUUUCCUUAGACCAUGAGAGUGUGCAACUCCCGGAUACCGUAGGAAUGCUUUAGGUGUACCAAACGUCACAUCGUAACUGGGUGGCUAUAAAGGUGCACUACAGGUAUCUUCGAAAGUGUCUGUUGGGUUGGCACGAAUCGAGACUGGGAUUUGUCACUCUGUGUAAACGGAGAGGUAUCUCUGGGGCCACUCGGUAGGACAUAAUCAUAAUGUGCACAAUGUGACCAAGGGGUUGAUCACGGGAUGAUGUGUUACGGAAUGAGUAAAGAGACUUGCCGGUAACGAGAUUGAACAAGGUAUCGGUAUACCGACGAUCGAAUCUCGGGCAAGUACUAUACCGCUAGACAAAGGGAAUUGUAUACGGGAUUGAUUGAGUCCUUGACAUCGUGGUUCAUCCAAUAAGAUCAUCGUGGAACAUGUGGGAGCCAACAUGGGUAUCCAGAUCCCGCUGUUGGUUAUUGACCGGAGAACGUCUCGGUCAUGUCUGCAUGGUUCCCGAACCCAUAGGGUCUACACACUUAAGGUUCGAUGACGCUAGGGUUAUAAAGGAAGUUUGUAUGUGGUUACCGAAUGUUGUUCGGAGUCUCGGAUGAGAUCCCGGAGGUCACGAGGAGUUCCGGAAUGGUCCGGAGGUAAAGAUUUAUAUAUGGGAAGUCCUAUUUUGGCCACCGGAAAAUGUUCGGGAUUUUUCGGUAUUGUACCGGGAAGGUUCUAGAAGGUUCCGGAGUGGAGCCCACCAGCAUGGGGGGACCCACAUGAACGUGUGUAGUGGGGGAAAGGCCCCACACCCUUGGUCAAGGCGCACCAAGAUUCCCCCUUAGAUGGAAUAAGAUCAUAUCCCGAAGGGAUAAGAUCAAGAUCCCUAAAAAGGGGGAUAACAAUCGGUGGGGAAGGAAAUGAUGGGAUUUCUUUCCUCCCACCUUUGCCAACGCCGCAAUGGACUUGGAGGGCAAGAAACCAGCCCCCUCCACCCCUAUAUAUAGUGGGGAGGCACAUGGGAACUUCACCCUGGCCCCUGGCGCAGCCCUCCCCCUCUCCCAUGUGCUCCUCCUCUCUCGCGGUGCUUGGCGAAGCCCUGCAGGAUUUCCACGCUCCUCCAUCACCACCACGCCGUUGUGCUGCUGCUGGAUGGAGUCUUCCUCAACCUCUCCCUCUCUCCUUGCUGGAUCAAGGCAUGGGAGACGUCACCGGGCUGUACGUGUGUUGAACGCGGAGGUGCGGUCCGUUCGGCACUAGGAUCUCCAGUGAUUUGGAUCACGACGAGUACGACUCCUUCAACCCCGUUCUCUUGAAUGCUUCCGCUUAGCAAUCUACAAGGGUAUGUAGAUGCACUCUCCUUCCCCUCGUUGCUAGUCUCUCCAUAGAUAGAUCUUAGUGACACAUAGGAAAAUUUUGAAUUUUUGCUAUGUUCCCCAACAGUGGCAUCAUGAGCUAGGUCUAUUGCGUAGAUUCUUUGCACGAGUAGAACACAAAGUAGUUGUGGACGUUGAUUUUGUUCAAUAUGCUUACCGUUACUAGUCCAAUCUUGAUUCGGCGGCAUUGUGGGAUGAAGCGGCCCGGACCGACCUUACACGUACACUUACGUGAGACAGGUUCCACCGACUGACAUGCACUUGGUGCAUAAGGUGGCUAGCGGGUGCCAAUCUCUCCCACUUUAGUCGGAACGGAUUCGAUGAAAAGGGUCCUUAUGAAGGGUAAAUAGCAAUUUGCAUAUCACGUUGUGGUUUUGUGUAGCUAAGAAACGUUCUUGCUAGAAAUCCAUAGCAGCCACGUAAAACAUGCAAACAACAAUUAGAGGACGUCUAACUUGUUUUUGCAGGGUAUGCUUUGUGAUGUGAUAUGGCCAAGAAGAAUGUGAUGAAUGAUAUGUGAUGUAUGAGAUUGAUCAUGUUCUUGUAAUAGGAUUCACGACUUGCAUGUCGAUGAGUAUGACAACCGGCAUGAGCCAUAGGAGUUGUCUUUAUUUAUUGUAUGACAUGUGUGUCAUUGAACAACGCCAUGUAAUUACUUUACUUUAUUGCUAAGCGGUAGCCAUAGUAGUAGAAGUAAUAGUUGGCGAGACAACUUCAUGAAGACACGAUGAUGGAGAUCAUGAUGAUGGAGAUCAUGGUGUCAUGCCGGUGACGAUGAUGAUCAUGGAGCCCCGAAGAUGGAGAUGAAAAGGAGCAAAAUGAUAUUGGCCAUAUCAUGUCACUAUUUGAUUGCAUGUGAUGUUUAUCAUGUUUAUGCAUCUUAUUUGCUUAGAACAACGGUAGUAAAUAAGAUGACCCCUCAUUAAAAUUUCAAGAAAGUGUUCCCCCUAACUGUGCACCGUUGCGAAAGUUCGUCAUUUCGAAGCACCACGUGAUGAUCGGGUGUGAUAGAUUCUUACGUUCACAUACAACGGGUGUAAGCCAGAUUUACACAUGCGAAACACUUAGGUUGACUUGACGAGCCUAGCAUGUACAGACAUGGCCUCGUAACACAAGAGACCAAAAGGUCGAGCAUGAGUCGUAUAGUAGAUACGAUCAACGUGAAGAUGUUCACCGAUGAUGACUAGUCCGUCUCACGUGAUGAUCGGACACGGCCUAGUUGACUCGGAUCAUGUAAUGACUUAGAUGACUAGAGGGAUGUCUAUCUGAGUGAGAGUUCAUAAGAUGAACUUAAUUAUCUUGAACAUAGUCAAAAGAUCUUUGCAAAUUAUGUCGUAAGCUCGCGCUUUAGUUACACUGUUUAGAUAUGUUCCUAGAGAAAAUAUAGUUGAAAGUUGACAGUAGCGAUUAUGCGGACAGUAGAAAGCUUAUCUCCUUAAUGCACCGCUUAGUGUGCUAAACCCCAAACAUCGUCUGUGGAUGUUGCGAACAUCGGACAUACACGUUUUGACAACUACGUGAUAGUUCAGUUAAACGGUUUAGAGUUGAGGCACCAAAGACGAUUUCGAAACAUCGCGGAACAUAUGAGAUGUUUCGAGGGCCGAAAUUGGGAUUUUAGGCUCGUGCCCACGUCAAGAGGUAAAAGACCUCCUUUUUCUUAGCCUGCAAACUAAGGGAGAAAAGCUCAAUCGUUGAGCUUGUGCUUAGAUUGUCUGAGUGCAACAAUCACUUGAAUCGAGUGGGAGUUGAUCUUCCAAAUGAGAUAGUGAUGUUUCUCCAAAGUCAUUACCACCAAGUUGCUAGAGCUUCGUGAUGAACUAUAACAUAUCAAGGAUAGAUAUGAUGAUCCUUGAGGUAUUCGCGAUGUUUGACACCGCGAAAGUAGAAAUCAAGAAGGAGCAUCAAUUGUUGAUGGUUGGUGAAACCACUAGUUUCAAGAAGGGAAAGGGCAAGAAGGGAUACUUCAUGAAACGGCAAAUCAGCUGCUGCUCUAGUAAAGAAACCCAAGGUUGAACCCAAACCCGAGACUAAGUGCUUCUGUAAUAAGGGGAACAACCACUGGAGCCGAAUUACCCUAGAUACUUGGUAGAUGAGAAGGAUGGCAAGGUCGAUAGAAGUAUAUUGGAUAUACAUUAUGUUAAUGUGUACUUUACUAGUACUCCUAGUAACACCAGGGUAUUAAGAUACCGGUUCGGUUGCUAAGUGUUAGUAACUCGAAAUAAAAGAGCUACGGAAUAAACGGAGACUAGCUAAAGGUGAGCUGACGAUAUGUGUUGGAAGUGUUUCCAAAUUUGAUGUGAUCAAACAUCGCAAGGUCCCUCUACCAUCAAGAUUAGUAUUAAACCAGAAUAAUUGUCAUUUGGUGUUUGCGUUGAGCAUAAACAUGAUUGGAUUAUGUCUAUUGCAAUACGGUUAUUCAUUUAAGGAGAAUAAUGGUUACUCUAUUUAUUUGAAUAAUACCUUUAAUGGUCUUGCACCUAAAGGAAUGGUUUAUUGAAUCUCGAUCGUAGUGAUACACAUUUUCAUGCCAAAAGAUAUAAGAUAGUAAUGGUAGUACCACUUACUUGUGGCACUGCCAUGUAAGUCAUAUUGGUAUAAAAACGUAUGAAGAAGCUCCAUGUUGAUGGAUCUUUGGACUCACUCGUUUUUGAAAAGUUUGAGACAUGCGAACCAUGUCUAUUGGUGUAUACGCAUGAAGAAACUCCAUGCAGAUGGAUCGUUUGGACUCACUUGAUUUUGAAUCACUUGAGAUAUGCAAAUCUUACCACUUGGGCAAGAUGACUGAAAAGCCUCGUUUUCAGUAAGAUGGAACGAGAUAGCAACUUGUUGGAAGUAACACAUUUUGAUGUGUGUAGUCCAAUGAGUGCUGAGGCAUGUAGUGAAUAUCGUUAUGUUCUUACUUCACAGAUGAUUCGAGUAGAUGUUGAGUAUAUUUACUUGAUGAAACACAAGUCUGAAUUAUUGAAUGGUUCAAGUAAUUUCAGAGUGAAGUUGAAGAUCAUUGUGACAAGAGGAUAAAAUGUCUAUGAUAUGAUCAUAGAGAUGAGUAUCUGAGUUGCGAGCUUUGGCACGCAAUUAAGACAUUGUGGAAAUUGUUUCACAAUUAAUACUGCCUGGAACACCAUAGUGUGAUGGUGUGUCCGAACAUCAUAGUUGCACCCUAUUGGAUAUGGUGCGUACCAUGAUGUCUCUUAUCGAAUUACCACUAUCGUUCAUGGGUUUAGAGACAACCGCACUCACUUUAGUAGGGUACCACGUAAUUCCGUUGAGACGACACUGUUUGAACUAUGGUUUGGAGAAACCUAAGUUGUCGUUUCUUAAAAGUUUGGGGCUGCGAUGCUUAUGUGAAAAAGUUUCAGGUUGAUAAGCUCGAACCCAAAGCGGAUAAAAUGCAUCUUCAUAGGACACCCAAAACAGUUGGGUAUACCUCCUAAUUCAGAUCCGAAAGCAAUAGGGAUUGUUUCUUGAAUCAGGUCCUUUCUCGAGGAAAGGUUUGUCUCGAGAAUUGAGUGGGAGGAUGGUGGAGACUUGAUGAGGUUAUUAAACCGUCACUUCAACAAGUGUGUAGCAGGGCACAGGAAGUUGUUCCUAUGGCGCCUACACCAAUUGAAGUAGAAGCUUAUGAUAGUGAUCAUGAAGUUUUGGAUCAAGUCACUACCGUACCUCGUAGGGUGACAAGGAUGCAUACUACUUCAGAGUGGUACAGUAAUCCUGUCUUGAAGGUCAUGUUACUAGACAACAAUGAACCUACGAGCUAUGGAGAAGCGAUGGUGGGCCCAAAUUCCGACAAAUGGUUAGAAGCCAUGAAAUCCGAGAUAGGAUCCAUGUAUCAGAACAAAGCAUGGACUUUGGUGGACUUGCCCGAUGAUCGGCAAGCCAUUGAGAUAAAUGGAUCUUUAAGAAGAAGACGGACGUGGACGGUAAUGUCACCGUCUAUGAAGCUCGACUUGCGGCGAAGAGUUCUUCACAAGUUCAAGGAGUUGACUACGAUGAGAUUUUCUGAUCCAUAGCGAUGCUUAAGUCCGUCGGAAUCAUGUUAGCAUUAGCUGCAUUUCUGAAAUCUGGCAGAUGGAUGUCAAAACGAGUUUCCUUACCAGUUUUCGUAAGGAAAGGUUGUAUGAGAUACAAUCAGAAAGGUUUUGUCGAUCCUAAGGAUGCUGAAAGGUAUGCUAGCUCCAGUGAUCCUUCCAUGGACUGGAGUAAGCAUCUCGGAGUUGGAAUAUACACUUUGAUAAGAUGAUCAAAGAUUUUGGGUUUCCAAAGAAGUGAGUGGGAGCACUAUAGAAUUUCUGAUAAGUAUAUGUUGUUGACAUAUUGUUGAUCAGAAAUGAUGUAGAAUUUCUGGAAAACAUAUAGGGUUAUUUGAAAAGUGUUUUUCAAUAGAAAACCUGGAUUGAGCUGCUUGAACAUUGAGCAUCAAGAUCUAUAAGGAUAGAUCAAAAUGCUUAAUGGUACUUUCAAAUGAGCAUAUACCAUGACAUGAUCUUGAAGGUGUCCAAGAUGGAUCAGUCAAAGAAGGAGUUCUUGCCUGAGAUGUAAGGUACGAAGUUAAGACUUAAAGCUCGACCACGACAGAAUAGAGAAAAAGGACGAAGGUCGUCCCCUACGCUUCAGACGUAGGCUCUAUAGUAUGCUAUGUUGUAUACCGCACCGGAAGUGUGCAUUGCCAUGAGUCAGUCAAGGGGUACAAGAAUGAUCUAGGAAUGGAUCAUUGGACAGCGGUCAAAAUUGUCCUUGGAGUAAAUAGGGACAUGUUUCUCGAUUAUGGAGGUGAUAAAGAGUUCGGCGUAAAGGGUUACGUCGAUGCAAGCUUUAACACCUAUCCGAGUGACUCUGAGUAGCAAACCGGAUACGUAUAGUGGAACAACCAUUUGGAAUAGCUCCAAGUAGAGCAUGGAAGCAACAUUUACAAUAUGACCUAGAGAUUUGCGAAGAACAUACGGAUCUGAAUGUUGCAGACACGUUGACUAAAACCUCUCUCAAGCAAAACAUGAUCAAACCCCAGAACUCAUUGAGUCUUAAUCACAUGAUGAUGUGAACUAGUUUAAUGACACUAGUAGACUCUUUGGAUGUUGGUCACAUGGCGAUGUGACUUGUGAGUUCUAAUCACAUGGCAAUGUGAACUAGAUUAUUGACUCUAGUGCAAGUGGGAGACUGUUGGAAAUAUGCCCUAGAGGCAAUAAUAAAUUAGUUAUUAUUAUAUAUCCUUGUUCAUGAUAAUCGUUUAUUAUCCAUGCUAUAAUUGUAUUGAUAUGAAACUCAGAUACAUGUGUGGAUACAUAGACAAAACCAUGUCCCUAGUAAGCCUCUAGUUGACUAGCUCGUUUAUCAAUAGAUGGUUACAGUUUCCUAACCAUGGACAUUGGAUGUCGUUGAUAACGGGAUCACAUCAUUAGGAGAAUGAUGUGAUGGACAAGACCCAAUCCUAAGCCUAGCACAAAGAUCGUGUAGUUCGUAUGCUAAAGCUUUUCUAAUGUCAAGUAUCAUUUCCUUAGACCAUGAGAGUGUGCAACUCCUGGAUACCGUAGGAAUGCUUUAGGUGUACCAAACGUCACAACGUAACUGGGUGGCUAUAAAGGUGCACUACAGGUAUCUCUGAAAGUGUCUGUUGGGUUGGCAUGAAUUGAGACUGGGAUUUGUCACUCCGUGCAAACGGAGAGGUAUCUCUGGCCCCACUCGGUAGGACAUCAUCAUAAUGUGCACAAUGUGACCAAGGAGUUGAUCACGGGAUGAUGUGUUACGGAAUGAGUAAAGAGACUUGCCGGUAACAAGAUUGAACAAGGUAUCGGUAUACCGACGAUCGAAUCUCGGGCAAGUACUAUACCGCUAGACAAAGGGAAUUGUAUACGGGAUUGAUUGAGUCCUUGACAUCGUGGUUCAUUCGAUAAGAUCAUCGUGGAACAUGUGGGAGCCAACAUGGGUAUCCAGAUCCCGCUGUUGGUUAUUGACCGGAGAACCUCUCGGUCAUGUCUGCAUGGUUCCCGAACCCGUAGGGUCUACACACUUAAGGUUCGAUGACACUAGGGUUAUAAAGGAAGUUUGUAUGUGGUUACCGAAUGUUGUUUGGAGUCCCGGAUGAGAUCCCGGAUGUCACGAGGAGUUCCGGAAUGGUCCGGAGGUAAAGAUUUAUAUAUGGGAAGUCCUAUUUUGGCCACCGGAAAAUGUUCGGGAUUUUUCGGUAUUGUACCGGGAAGGUUCUAGAAGGUUCCGGAGUGGGGCCCACCAGCAUGGGGGGACCCACAUGAACGUGUGUAGUGGGGGAAAGGCCCCACACCCUUGGUCAAGGCGCACCAAGAUUCCCCCUUAGAAGGAAUAAGAUCAUAUCCCGAAGGGAUAAGAUCAAGAUCCCUAAAAAGGGGGGAUAACAAUUGGUGGGGAAGGAAAUGAUGGGAUUUCUUUCCUCCCACCUUUGCCAACGCCCCAAUGGACUUGGAGGGAAAGAAACCAGCCCCAUCCACCCCAAUAUAUAGUGGGGAGGCGCAUGGGAACUUCACCCUUGCCCCUGUCGCAGCCCUCCCCCUCUCCCAUGUGCUCCUCCUCUCUCGCGGUGCUUGGCGAAGCCCUGCAGGAUUGCCACGCUCCUCCAUCACCACCACGCCGUUGUGCUGCUGCUAGAUGGAGUCUUCCUCAACCUCUCCCUCUCUCCUUGCUGGAUCAAGGCAUGGGAGACGUCACCGGGCUGUACGUGUGUUGAACGCAGAGGUGCCGUCCGUUCAGCACUAGGAUCUCCGGUGAUUUGGAUCACGACGAGUACGACUCCUUCAACCCUGUUCUCUUGAACGCUUCCGCUUAGCGAUCUACAAGGGUAUGUAGAUGCACUCUCCUUCCCCUCGUUGCUAGUCUCUCCAUAGAUAGAUCUUGGUGACACAUAGGAAAAUUUUGAAUUUUUGCUAUGUUCCCCAACAGAAACACCAUAAGAUCCAACUAUAAUAGCAAAGCUCACGAUACAUCAAGAUCAUGCCAAAUCAAGAACACGAGAGAGAGAGAGAGAUCAAACACAUAGCUAGUGUUACAUACCCCCAGCCCCGAGGGUGAACUACUCCCUCCUCGUCAUGGAGAGUGCGGGGAUGAUGAAGAAGGCCACGGAUGAGGGAUUCCCCCUCUGGCAGGGUGCCGGAACAGGGUCCCAAUUUGUUUUUGGUGGCUCUAGAGGCUUGCGGCGGCGGAACUCCCGAUCUAUUGUAUUUUCUGGAGGUUUCAGUAUUUAUAGGAAUUUUUGUUGUAGGUCUCACGUCAGGGGGGUCUCCAGGCUGUCCACGAGGCAGGGGGCGUGCCCUAGGGGGUGGGUGCGCCCCCACCCUUGUGGGUAGCCUGGGACUCUUCUGGCCCAACUCUUGCACUCCAGGGGCUUCUUUAGGUCCAUAAAAAUUCAUCAAAAAUUGGCACGUCAAUUGGACUCCGUUUGGUAUUCCUUUUCUGUAAAACUCAAAAACAUGGAAAAAUAGAAACUGGCACUAGGCUCUAAGUUAAUAAGUUAGUCCCAAAAAUAAUAUAAAAGUGUAUACUAAAGCCCAUUAAACAUCUAAAACAGAUAAUAUAAUAUCAUGAAUACUUCAUAAAUUUAGAUACGUUGGAGACGUAUCAGCAUCCCCAAGCUUAGUGAGUGGUUAAAUACUAUGUGAAGUCUCUCUCUCAUUUAAGUAUUCCAGAUCUUGGGAUAUUAUUCAAAAUGCAAGCAAAACGAAAUAAAAAAAUGACAUUUCAAGGAUAGCACUCAUCAUGUGAAGAAACAAAACUUAGGCUCAACCGAUAAUAACCGAUAAUUAUUGAAGAAGAAAGGUGGGAUGCCUACCGGGGCAUCCCCAAGCUUCGAUGCUUGAGACUUCUUGAAAUAUUAUCUUGGGGUGCCCUGGGCAUCCCCAAGCUUGAGCUUUUGUGUCUCCUUAAUUCCUCUCAUAUCACGGUUUCCUAAAUCUCGAAAGCUUCACCCACACCAAACUCAACAAGAACUCGUGAGAUAAGUAAGUAUAAACCAAUGCAAAAACCUUAUCAUACUCUACUGUAACAAAUUACUAAAAUUAUUAUUCAACAUUUCAUACUAAAUGUCUCUGCAUAUUUAAUCCUCCUAUCCUCAAAUAGAAUCAUUAAACAAGCAAACAUAUGCAAACAAUGCAAACAUAACAGCAAUCUGCCAAAACAGUAUAGUCUGUAAAGAAUGCAAGAUUCAUCAUACUUACCUAACUCCAAAUAUUAUGAUAAAAAUACUACACUGUUGAAGAUUUAUCAGAGCUCAAUAUGCAAAAAAAUCAAUAUUAUAUCGUUCUCUGACUUUUCUAGGGAAUUUUUGCAACAGCGGUAAACUUUCUGUUUUGAAACAGCAACAUGUAUACUUGCAAUAUAAGCAUGGUAAAGGCUAUCCUUGACAUUUUUUUGAAAAUAUAGAUGCAAAACAUUAUUAUAAAGAACAUCAAGCAAAUACUAACAAAAUAAAAUGACGCUCCAAGCAAAACACAUAUCAUGUGGUGAAUAAAAAUAUAGCUCCAAGUAAAGUUACCGGUGAACGAAGACGAAAGAGGGGAUGCCUUCCGGGGCAUCCCCAAGCUUAGGCUCUUGGUUGUCCUUGGAUAUUAUCUUGGGGUGCCUUGGUAAUCCCGAAUCUUAGUCUUUUGCCACUCCUUAUUCCAUAGUCCAUCGAAUCUUUACCCAAAACUUGAAAACUUCACAAUAGAAAACUUAACAGAAAACUCGUAAGCUCCGUUAGAAUAAGAAAAUAAAACCACCACUUAGGUACUAUUGUGAACUCAUUAUAAAUUCAUAUUGGUGUAAUAUAUACUGUAUUCCAACUUCUCUAUGGUUCAUACCCUCCAAUACUACUCAUAGAUUCAUCAAAAUAAGCAAACAACACAUAGAAAACAGAAUCUGUCAAAAAUAGAACAGUCUGUAGUAAUCUGUACCAAACGUAUACUUCUGGAACUCCAAAAAUUCUGAAAUAAAUUGGUGGACCUGUGGAAUUUGUCUAUUAAUCAUUUAAAAAAGAAUCAACCUAAAAUAACUCUCCAGUAAAACAUGGCAGCUAACUCGUGAGGGCUAAAGUUUCUGUUUUUUACAGCAAGAUCACAAAGACUUCACCCAAGUCUUUCCAAAGAUUCUACUUGGCACAAACACUAAUUAAAACAUAAAAACACAUCUAAACGGAGUCUAUAUGAAUUAUUUAUUACUAAACAGGAGCAAAAAGCAAAGAACAAAAAAUAAAAUUGGGUUGCCUCCCAACAAGCGCUAUCGUUUAACGCCCCUAGCUAGGCAUGAUGAUUUCAAUGAUGCUCACAUAAAAGAUAAGAAUUGAGACAUAAAGAGAGAAUCAUGAAGUAUAUGGCUAGCACAUUUAAGUCUAACCCACUUCCUAUGCAUAGGGAUUUUGGAAGCAAACAACUUAUGGGAACAAUAAUCAACUAGCAUAGGAAGGCAAAACAAGCAUAACUUUAAAAUUUUAAGCACAUAGAGAGGAAAUUUGAUAUUAUUGUGAUAUGUAACAGGACAUGUUCCUCUCUCAUAAUAAUUUUCAGUAGCAUCAUGAAUGAAUUCAACAAUAUAACCAGCACAUAAAAGCAAUCUUUUCAUGAUCUACUUGCAUAGAAAAUUUACUACUCUCCACAUAAGCAAAUUUCUUCUCACCAAUAGUAGUGGGAGCAAACUCAACAAAAUAACUAUCAUGUAAGGCAUUAUCCAAUUGAAAAUUAAGAUCAUGAUGACAAGUUUCGUGGUUAUGUUUAUUAUUUAUGGCAUACGUAUCAUCACAAUAUUUUUAUGGCAUACGUAUCAUCACAAAAUUUUUUGUCCCCCAAGAUGAAGUGUAUGAGACAAACUCAAUUCCAUUUUUUUGUAGUUUUCUUUUAUAGACUAAACUAGUGAUAAAAAAAGAAACUAAAAGAUUCUAUUGCAAGAUCUAAAGAUAUACCUUCGAGCACUCACCUCCCCAGCAACAGCGCCAGAAAAGAGCUUGAUGUCUACUACACAACCUUAUUCUUGUAGAUGUUGUUGGGCCUCCAAGUGCAGAGGUUUGUAGGACAGUAGCAAAUUGUCCCUCAAGUGGAUGCCCUAAGGUUUAUCAAUCCUUAGGAGGCAUUGGAUGAAUAUGGUCCCUCUCAAAAAACCCUGCAACCAAAUAACAAAGAGUCUCUUGUGUCUCCAACACACCCAAUACAAUGGUAAAUUGUAUAUGUGCACUAGUUAGGCAAGAGAUGGUGAUACAAGUGCAAUAUGCAUGAUAUAUAUGAGUAUUUGUAAUCUGAAAAUAUAAAAACAGCAAGGUAACUAUGAUAAAAGUGAGCAUAAACAGUAUUGCAAUGCUAGGAAACAAGGCCUAGGGUUCAUACUUUCACUAGUGCAAGUUCUCUCAACAAUAAUAAUAUAACUGGAUCAUAUAAUUAUCCCUCAACAUGCAACAAAGAGUCACUCCAAAGUCACUAAUAGCGGAGAACAAAUGAAGAGAUUAUUGUAGGGUACGAAAGGACCUCAAAGUUAUCCUUUCUAAUCGAUCUAUUCAAGAGUCUGUAGUAAAAUAACACGAAGAUAUUCUUUUCGUUCGAUCUAUCAUAGAGUUCGUCCUAGAAUAACACCUUAAGACACAAAUCAACCAAAGCCCUAAUGUCACCUAGAUACUCCAAUGUCACCUCAAGUAUCCGUGGGCAUGAUUAUACGAUAUGCAUCACACAAUCUCAGAUUCAUCUAUUCAAACCAACACAAAGUACUUCAAAGAGUGCCCCAAAGUUUCUACCGAAGAGUCAAGAUGAAAACGUGUGCCAACCCCUAUGCAUAAGUUCACAAGGCCACUGAACCCGCAAGUUGAUCACCAAAACGUACAUCAAGUAUAUCACGUGAAUAUCCCAUUGUCACCACAGAUAAGCACAUGCAAGACAUACAUCAAGUGUUCUCAAAUCCUUAAAGAGUCAAUCCAAUAAGGUAACUUCAAAGGGAAAACUCAAUCCAUUACAAGAGAGUAGAGGGGGAGAAACAUCAUAAGAUCCAACUAUAAUAGCAAAGCUCGCAAUACAUCAAGAUCGUGCUAAAUCAAGAACACGAGAGAGAGAGAGAGAUCAUACAAAUAGCUACUGGUACAUACCCUCGGCCCCGAGGGUGAACUAAUCCCUCCUCGUCAUGGAGAGCGCCGGGAUGAUGAAAGAUGGCCACCGGUGAGGGAUCCCCCUCCAGCAGGUUGCCAGAACAGGGUCCUGAUUGGUUUUUGGUGGCUACAGAGGCUUGCGGCGGCGAAACUCCCGAUCGAUUGUAUUUUCUGGAGGUUUCAGUAUUUAUAGGAAUUUUUGGCAUGGGUCUCACAUCAGGGGGGUCUCCAGGCUGUUCACGAGGCAGGGGGCGCGCCCUAGGGGGUGGGCACGCCCCCACCCUUGUGGGCAGCCCGGGACUCUUCUGGCCCAACUCUUGCACUCCAGGGGCUUCUUUUGGUCCAUAAAAAUUCGUCAAAAAUUGGCACGUCAAUUAGACUCCGUUUGGUAUUCCUUUUCUGUAGAACUCAAAAACAAGGAAAAACAGAAACUUGCACUGGGCUCUAAGUUAAUAAGUUUGUCCCAAAAAUAAUAUAAAAGUGUAUAGUAAAGCCCAUUAAACAUCUAAAACAGAUAAUAUAAUUGCAUGAAUACUUCAUAAAUUAUAGAUACGUUGGAGACGUAUAAGUAUGUUCGUUUGCUUUUUUCACUAAGUAGUUUUUCCCCUUUUGUUUCCGUUUAGUUGUGGGUGAAACAAACAAAAAAAUUUAAAAAUGCAAAAUACAAAAAAAAAA